rnacentral:lncRNA from 1 species
CAUCGUGAAUUUUUGGAUCGGAAUCUUGCUUUAAUUUAUUCAAUGCACUUGCCCAAUAUGCCAUGUCCUUAUUACAAACUGUAGAACCCAAGACUUUAAGAGCUAGUGGAAAGCCUUUAGCAUAUUCCAAAAACUUAUUUGAUAGAUCCUUCAAAUCAUCAACAAGGUGGUCUUGCUUGAAGGCAUACAUAGAAAAGAGCCGAAUAGAGUCAUUGUGACUUAAUUCCUUAACCUUAUAUAUUCUAUCAACUGAUCCAUUUGUAAGGACUUGUUUGUCUCUAGAUGUUACAAUGAUUCUACUACCAAAACCAAAGUGGUCGUGGCUAAUUUCUAAUUUUUCUAGUUGGUCCCAAUAAUUGACAUCAUCAAGGACAACAAGAACUCUCUUACGACGGAGUCUAUCCUUAGUGAAUGUGGAUCCCAUAUUAUUGAUAUCGAGGCUUUCCUCGUUUAAUAAUUGGGAAAGAAGUCUAUUCAGCAGAGUGAUUACAUUUGCACCAUGUUUUUCUAACUCCUCUCUAACAUCUGCCAAGAAAUAACUACUUUCAAAUUGACCACAGACUUCAUUAUAUAUAGCUCGAGCAAGAGUUGUUUUGCCGAUACCAGGCAUUCCCCAUAUCCCAAUAAUACGAACAUCCUUCUUCUCUUCAAUGCACAAUAGCGAUUUGAUUUGCUCCAUACGAGGAACUAUUCCAAUAAGGCCUCUGCGAUCACCUUUAAACAACCGUUUCAACUUGUUUCCAAUAUCUUGAACAAUAUGCUCAAUGACUAUAGGCUCAGGCCUAUCGAAUAAGCAAAAAAAGGAAUAAGUUAAGCCUAAGGUAAUGAAGAUUAUAUGAACAAAACUUACGCUUUUUAAGGGAAAUUUUUUAAAAUAAAAAAAUCAAACGAAAUCAUAUAUAAUAUUAUAUUACAAAAUAUGUAAAAACUUGAUAAGAUAUGUCACUUAAAUGUUUAUAUGAAUAACUUAUAUUCAUGACACGUAAGAAAUUGCUUAAAACAUUUGCUUACAUGGAUGUCUAUUUGAAUGACUUUUAAAUUGUUACUAAUAAAAUCUAAUUUAGAUAUAUUAUCUUUGUAAAUUUUAAAUGAACUUUCAAAUAAUCUAAACAAUAUCUUUUUAAAUUUAAAAUUUUUAAAUAUAGUGAUAUUUUAUCAUUUAAAAUGAAUUUUCUAAUCAUCUAAAUAUAUAUCUUUUGAAAUAUAAAAAUCUUGAAUUAGUGAUAUAUCUUUUUAAAUCUAAAAUAUAGGUGUGUAAAAUCAAGAACAUAUUUUUUAAAAAAGAAAAAUAUAUCUGAAAUAAGAUCAUAUUUAUUAUAUUUUAUUCAAAUUCAAAUAUAAAUAUUUCCAAUAGAUUAACAAAAAAAAUUGUUAAAUAACAUUUCAAUCAAUUUAGAUUUUGAGUCAUGAAAUGGAUAAAACUACCCAGAUUCAAUAUUGAAUUCAAAUGAAUAGAUUAAAUUUCAAUAAAAAUAUAAAAUUUAACAAAUUCAUUUUAUUUUAUUCAAACUUUAUCGAUUUAGAGUUUUUUUUUAAUUUAAUUUCUCAAAAAAUAUAUAUUUACUUUCAUAAAUUUCUUUAUGAUCCUUUAGUUUUGUUUUUUUUAAUGUAAAAAUAUAAAUAUCACUUAUUAUGUUAUAUUUAAAUUUAAAAAAUAUUUAUCAAUUUAAAAGUUAUCUAAAUAUCUUAAUUAUCAUCCAGUAUCUAUAAAUGAUUUGAGGUGCAUAGUUUUUUUUAUUCAAUUUGCAACUUUUCAAGAUUUUGUUUUCAUACAAAAACAAUACAAUUCUUUUUUGCUUUUGACACACGUUUAUUAACCUUUUCUUUUCAUUUUUUUGCAAAAAUUGUUUAAAGAUCACAAGUGAAAAUAUGUAAAUACUACUUUUAUUUCUUUUUAAAAAAAAUAGUAUUUUUCUAUUUUUCAUGCUUUUUAAUAUUUUGAUCACAAUUAUAAUAGUAAAGGUAUGUCAAACUUUUUUAUGAUUCAAUUAAAUUUUUAUUCAAUGCAUUAAGAGAAAAGAAAUUGACAUAGUAAUAUAUAGAUUGUCUAUAUAAUCUAAUAGUCAUAUGAUGUUAAAAUUUUAUGUUAUCUUGCAAUCCAUUUCUUCUCCUUUUUUUUUUGUUUUUAUUCUUAUCAUAUUCAUAUUCAUAUUAUAUAUUUAUUGGCACGAGAAUACAUUUUUCAUAUAAAAUUAAGAUUUUUGGUAAUGUUAAAAUGCAUUUUUUUCUUUUUUUUUUUCUUUUUAUAAUAUUUUAUAUUUUGAUAUCUACUUCUUUUCUUUUUUAGAAACUACAGACUUAUAAAUUUUAAAUUUGUAAUUUUAUAGAAUACAACAACGGUAAUUAAAAUAUAAUUUUGAGCUGUGCUAUGUCAUCAAAAUGGAUCACAAAGAUUUUCCGACUAUGAUUGUUUUAUUCUAAACAUUAAUUUGAUAAGAUAAUUCUCCAUUAUCUUGGAGAGUUCAUCCAAGCACCAUGAUGAAGUAGCAUAGUUUUGAGAAAAAACUAUUACUGAAGUCAUUGAUUCUUCGAUUGCUUUCAACAGGGCGGGAGAAAUUUCCUCUCCCCUUGGAAGUUCUUUGAAAUCAGCAUAAGUUCCAAUCCCUUUUCUUUUAAAAGCGUCAUAUAGGUGACUGAGGAAGGUAUUGCGUGUGUCUUCACCUCUGAAACUCAGGAAAACAUGAUGCUUUGCUUGGCGGAAGGAAGCAAAAGCAGAGGAAGAGGAAGCCAUAACAGAGAACAAGAAGGUUUUGUUAUGUAAGUCCGCAAUACAGUAAGAAAAAGACAAAGAAGUGCAUAAUGAAGACAACCAAAAGGACUCCAAAGUCAAAAUGAAAGAGGAGCAACGCGGAACCAUCAUAUAGCAAAGGAGUCAAGCCAAGGGACAAUUACAAAAUGAUGCAAUUCAAUGAGAAUAUUGAAUAAUUGUAUACCGAUAAUAUUUAUGGAAAAAAGAAAUAUCAAGUGAGAAAAUUAUAAAAAAGGGAAGUUUAUGUUAGUUUUUUACCUUCACCACUAACUAACAUAGCGGAAAAGCGUAUUUUUGUAUUAUUUAUUCAUCUUUAUAUUAUUUAAAACUUUAUUAAAAAUAAAAUACUAAUAUUUGUUCAAUCUCAUAUUGUUUGAGAACUUUUUAUUUUCAUAAAAUUUUUUAAAAAAUAUUUUGAUUUUAUUACAUUUAAUAUUAAAAUUUUAAAAUUUUUAUAAAAGUGAAGUUCCAUAAUUUUUAAUUUCAAAAAAUAAAAAAUCAUGAAAAAUAAUUUGAAAAUAUAAAAAGUAAAAAAUUUAGAUGUUAAAUAAAAUAAUUUUAAGAUAUCUCAAUGGGCAACAGAUUAAAAAAAAAAAAACUGGAGAAUACUACUGAGAGAGCCGAUAACAAGGUAGAAAAUGAUCAUUCAUUACAGAAAAAUACUAUAAUAGUUUCGGAGAAGACACAGAAGAACUUAAAAAUAGUUCAAAUUCAUGAUGAACCACAAUGACUAAGAUGAAGAAAGGACAGGUUUGUCGAGAACUCGUAGUGCCUCGAAGUCUCAGUUCAAGCACAGGCACAAAGCAAAGAAUCUCAAAGAAAAAUUGAAGCUCUUUAAAGGCUUGGUCAUCCCUCCUAUUACUGCAAAAACUUAAUUCUUUAUUUCUUUAUAGGGAUAGUUUUAAAUUUAUUUACAUAAAUGGGGUACUUCAUGCCAUGUCAUGCCAUGUCAGAUUUUUUAAAUAAUCAUUUAUAUUUUUUAAAAAUAUUUUAAAAAAUUGAAACACCUAAACACUACCAUUACUUUGUUUACUAAACACUAUUUUCUACUGGCCUCUGAAGCAUAGUGAAGCAGAGUAGGAACAGGGCUUCCAAUUCAACAAGAGAUUUCAUCAUGAGAUAACGAAAUGCUAGGGAUAUUUAUUCCUUUCAUAGGAUAAAAAGGGAAGGUGGCAUUUUAAUGUUUUUGAUAUACAUGCCUUAUAAUAUUCCUAUGUUCUUAAACUCACUGCACAUAUUUUCUGCUGUACAUUAUAACACUAUAAAUAGCAUAAAUAUUUGUAAGUAAAAGUUUUAAGACUAGUACUUAAUAAUAUAAAUGGAACCCUUCCUCUUCACUCAUAAGUCAUUUGCUAUGCAAGUUACAAAAACUGCUGUUAUAUUAGAACAGAAAUUAUCCCUAGUAAUCAAAAGAAAAAUAUAAAUGCAUGCAACAACAAGGCCACCAAGAAGAAACUAGCAAAACAUUUAUCACGAUGCAAUAUAUCUGUUUUCCAUGAAAUUUGUUUGAUAUGCUGCAUAAUGACAAUAAGAUUGCAUGGAAAAAUAGACAGAAUAAAAGAUACUUACAAUUGAAGAACCGAAUAACGAUGCUGUAUAAAUCUGUAGCAGAAUCAUUUUAUUUUUGAGCCGGGUGAAUAGCUCAUCAGCUUUGAUAUGCAGCUCCUUGCCCUUUGAAUCAUCACUGCCCCUGAAAAUCUUCUUUACACAAUCAAGCUCCUUUGUUAGUGUUUCUGGACCCCAGUCCUUUGCACAGCAUAAAAACACAUCCUUAAUAAACCCAAGCGUUGCUGAAGCAUGACCACAUCCCAUGAAGUGAAAUUACAUUUCAGUAGUACCAGAUGGCCCCUUUAAGCUAUGACUUGGCUUGAUUAAGGUUCCUCUGCAUACCACAAGCAGCAUAGCACCAAUAGCAACAAACAUCACAACCAACCCAACGGCUAGUAUUGUUAGCACAAUUGAAGUUCAGUGCAUUUUCCAUGUCCAAUUAAACCAACUACAUUAGAAUUAGUUUCAGUCCGCAUUUGCCAUAUCCAACUAAACCUAGGCCAUACAGUUGGCCAUCUUCAACAAGGCAUCAAAGUAAUGUGCUUACACAAUCAAGUAAUGUGUAGCCUUAAAAGUAGCCCAAACCAUAGAAUUCAGGUAGCAUCCUAACUAGUGAUGGUAGCAGCUCAUUAAUGCCUGUGAAUAGCAAAAAUAUUCCUUAAAUUGUGGGUAAAAGUAUAAGAUUAUCAACUUUCUCUUUUACCUUUUGGAAUUUGAAAUGACAAUUUAUAUUAUGUAUUGCAAGCAGGGAAAAUAUGAAAGAUAGCACAUUUGCCCUAAAUAGCCAAAGUCUUCAAAAACUAACCUUCCACCAAAAAGCUUCGCUAGCAAACCCCUGGCAAUUGACUCAAUGCAUAUCCCCAAAAGAAUGGUGGUUGCAGUAAUCCAGCUACUGAUGAAUUCCACCCAAACUGAUGUGACAUACGAAUUAUAGCAACACUCAAGUUCACCUACCCCAUUUAACAAGCUUAACAAAAUUAGUUCAACCUAAAUAUAAAACCCGAGUCCACACAAGUGAUUGCUGUUUCUACUACAUAAACCCAAAAAUCUACAAUUCAAAACUAUAAACCCCAAAAACUAUAAUUCAAAACUAUGAUGGAAUUAAGCAUAUAGAUGAAGAGUUUGGGAAUUUAAUUUCAAGGCAACAACAAAUCCCCAAAAGAAAAAGAGAGAUGAAGCACAUAAAUGAAGAACCCACCUAAAUUUUUCCCUUUCAUACUUGCCACUGUUAUUUGAUUGAAGGAGAGUUAAAGCAUCGAAGCAGAGAAAGUGUAAUCCCUUGUAUUUUGUAUGUAAAAGGAAAACAAAAAAAAAAUGACAUAGCAUGAGUAUCCCAUUUAGGUAAAUAAGUUUCAGACUUUCCUUAAAGAUGUUAAAAUAACCUUUUAUUGAAAAAAAAAAAAAAACUCUAGUUUCCUUUUUUUUUCUCUCUUUUUGUUUUUAUUUCCCCAAUUCUCAAUAAUGGUGCAAGUGUGAUCUAUUUUUUCUACUGUGAGAUGAUAACGACAAAGUUCUGACUAUCAGAUGAUAUAAACUUACUACAUCACUGAUGUAGCUUUAAGCAAGCACUGAAAUUGAUUACGAUUCAAGACCACAUGAUAGUUAAAGAUUUCAUGUUAUGCUUCAUAUAAUUUUUCUGAAAAAAAAGAAAAAAAGAAAAAGGAAAACUUGCACUUUCGACUAGUUAUAGAAGCUCAUUUACCUUGAUGAUCUACAACUGUAGAGGCAGCAGCCAUAGCAUGUAGUAAGUAGCAAAGGGAUGCAAAUCUCUAGCUUCAUAACAUCAUAUUGAAGUCAAACUCUGUAAUUUAGCUUGAAAAGGUAGCACAUAAUUAAUUUGGGGGGAAAAAAAUUACAUUUGUCACAACCUAGACUUGAAAACCCAAUAUUUCUCUGAAAACCCUUUCUAUUGGUGACAAAGAGACACUUGAAACAUCCAUGAUCUGCAGUUUCAAAAAUGCCACAUCAAGUUAAGGUUGAAUUUUCAUGAAAGUUUCAGAAAAUGUGCAAAAUACUGUCGUAAUUCUAAAAUGCAAAAUGAACAUAGGCAAAAAUAGAACCUUUUAUGGGAGAGGGGACCUUGCUUUCACAUUCCAACUGCUCUUAGGGAUCCUAGGAAAAGCAUCAACUGAAACCUAGAUCAAGAUAAUGCACAGGUUAUAAGCAAAAGCAAUUUCGCACGCAAGUGGAUCAGAUAAAUAUUUUGGGAAGGUGCAUGCAAAUUAGAAGUCAACUACUAUCUAAAAAGAAAAUUAGGUAAUAAUAAAACAAAACACCAACUAAAACACCACAAUAUUUGCAUACUUUACAUUACUUUGAGAGCCAAAACGAAAUUUAAAAAAAAAAAAUUUUAAAAGCGGGAAAUUUCAGAAAAGAAAAACAAAAUUAUCUCUGAAUCAGAGGAGAAAAAUACAAUAGUGAGUUGAGAAAAAUGAAAGGAGAAAAUAGAAUGAUGAGAGAGUGGUCGGAAACAAAAUGUGAAAGAAAAGCAUGAAGGAAAAUUUGAAUGAUUCAAAGUUGAAAGCAUUUCGUAUUCUUUUGUUUUUUCUAAAUUACCAAGAUUUAAAAGUGAUGACAAAUUGAAUCAAAGGAUGACUUACCAAAGCUUUGGAACUGAAUUGCCUGGACUUUAAAUAAUAUCAGAGCUAAAACGUCUUUUGUGCCUAGGUCUCGUUGUAGUCGUAGGAUCAUCAAGGCCUUCCUCAUCAUUAGCUCUGUAAUUAGUGCUGAACGCAACCUUUUUGUCAUUGGGUCUGACAGCAUCCUCAUAUAAUACUUUGACACCACAUUUUCGCACUUUGAUAUGCUCAAUAUUGGAAUUAAAAUCCUCAGCUUUAACGGAGAAUUCAAUGGAGGCCUCAUCAAAAUGCUCGCUGAUGGAUGAUGCUUCAUUGAUUUCACUUCCAAAACCAUUACCAAAAAGGAUCACAUGAUUCGAAUCAAAGCUUCGCCAGAAAGGGAAAUUCCAAUUGCAAUCAUGAGUAAAUUUGAGAGGAUCACAGUCACGGCGCUCUGUUGUUAAUAGACAUUUGCAAUCAACAUCGAAAUGUUUGAAUUUAUGAGGGCGCUUAAAAUUAACACAAUGCAUAGAAGAAAGCCCAAAAUUCUUUUACUAGAACAAGCUGGACCCAACUUGACAGUUAUUGAAGAAUUUUUACUCCGAUUCUUGAAUGUCUUUGGAAUUUUACUUCCAGGGAAACAAGAAAAGAAACAGUUACUAUAAGCACGAUCAGCAGCUACAAAAGAUCCAAUCGCAUCCACCUUUUCCGUACAUUGAGCUUUAAGCUGAGCAUUAGCCACAAUGUUGUUGACUGCAUCCCUUUCCAGAUUGAAGCAAUUAUGGAAUUCAAAAAAAUCGUCGUCCGAUUGAGGAAUUAAUGAACGACGAAGUAAUUUAUAUGUCCGAGCUUCCACAUAUUGCAGAUGUUUCCAUUGGUGAACUCUCUUUAAAGAUUUGCAGUUUUCUGCCUCUAAAAUUUGUAAACAUGGAAGUUCUGGCAAUGGUUUGAGGUUCUUGAAAUUGUUUAAACAUAGAGAACAUAAAUUAGGAAGUUGUUUGAUACUCUUAGGAAUUUCCACUAUAUCUGAUCCAGAUAGAUUCAAAAAUUCCAAAGAGACACGCCGAUAUAUAUCCGCGGAUAACACUGUUAUGGCUGUUUCCUCUGAACCACGAUAGCCUAGACAUUCCAUAGUCUCUAAUAUUUCUGGGAAACGCUCUAAGUUUGAACAGCCAUAGAGAUCAAAAUAGAUAAGAGAUUUUAACUUACAAAUGCUGGUUGGAAGCCUUUUAAGCCUUGUACAGCCACGCAUCCUGAAUGCAGUAAGGCUUUUAAGCCUUGAGAUUGAUGAAGGCACUUUUUUUAUUCGAGUGUUAUCCAAAUCUAACAUCUCUAUGUUCUCCGGAACAAUCGGAAAAUUUUUUAUGUUUGGGCAAUCACGGAGCCGGAUGUCUUUAAGGGCAUGCAACUGAAUAAUAGUGCUUGGAAUAUUACGAAUUCGGCCACCAAUCAUAUCCAAAAAUGCAAAUUGAUGGAGAAACCCGAUUGACUCCGGAAUUUCUUCUAUUGCAGUGCCUGUUAAAAUCAACUCUUCAAUAUGCUGUGGGAGCUCAGGAAAUUUCUUCAAAUUUGUUAACCCUUCACCUCUUAGGCGAGAGAGAAGAGAUUUCAAAUGAACCAUGGAUGGGAGUUCAACCAAGCUCUCGCAUCCACUAAUUUCCAGUUGUUCAAUAUUUUUGGACGCUGACAAACUUGGGAUCCUCGUUAAAUUCUUGCAAAACCGAAGAUCUAGCACUCUUAAAUUCUCAAGAUUCUGUGCAAUGAAAGCGAAGAAACAAUAUGAGAUUAGUUUAAACUUUAAAGCCUUUAAACUUAUAGGGUACUACAAAAAUAAAAAUUAAAAACAAUAAAUAUUAUUUUUUAUGAAAAUAAAAUGUUAAAGAAUACCUGGUCUCCAGUCCAAAAUUCUUCUACUGGAGUGUUAUCCAAAUAUAAGACCUCUAUCUUCGCCGGAACAAUCGGAAAAUUUGUGAUGUUUGGGCAAUCACAGAGUCGGAUGUCUUUAAGGGCAUGCAACUGAAUAAUAGUGCUUGGAAGAUUAUGAAUUCGGCCACCACUCAUAUCCAAAAAAGCAAGUUGAUGGAGAAACCCGAUUGACUCCGGAAUUUCUUCUAUUGCAGUGUCUGUUAAAAUCAACCUUUUAGUAUGCUGUGGGAGCUCAGGAAAUUUCUUCAAAUUUUUUAAACCACAACCGCUUAGGCUAAAGCAAAGAGAUUUCAAAUGAACCAUGGAUGGGAGUUCAACCAAGCUUUCGCACCAACUAAUUUCCAGUUGUUCAAUAUUUUUGGAUGCUGACAAACUUGGGAUCCUGGUUAAAUUCUUGCAAAACGAAAGAUCAAGCACUCUUAAAUUCUCAAGAUUCUGUGCAAUGAAAGCGAAGAAACAAUAUGAGAUUAGUUUAAAUUUUAAAGCCUCUAAACUUAUAAGGUACUACAAAAAUAAAAAUUAAAAACAAUAAAUAUUAUUUUUUAUGAAAAUAAAAUGUUAAAGAAUACCUGAUCUCCAUUCCAAAGUUGUUCAAAAUUGCGACCACUUAAUCUUAAUUCAACAAGAUUCUUCGGACUAAAAUUUGACGGCAUAGAUUUCAGCAUGCAAUUCUCCCAAUGAAAAUACCUAAACUCAUCAGGAAGAGAUUUAAGACCUUGGUGCGAAGGAACCAACAUACCUCCCUUCCCAGAAAAAGUAUGAUGAUAGAAUUUGAUAAUUCUAAGAUUAGGCAUCCUUGCGAAAGCACGUGGAUGUAACUGUACUUCAUUAAUUUGAGACAGGUCUAAUAAUAUUCCCUCCACUGAUUUCGUCCCCUAUAAUCAACGGUAAACAAUAAUUUACCGUAAUGCAUCAAACAUUUAUCAAGUCAAGAUGAGCAAAAAAAAAAAGAAAAGUUAGCUCAGUUAGCUCUUACCUUGCCAUUCUUUAACACGUUACAAACAUCAUUUGGAGUCCAUAAUCUGCUACGUUCUUCUGGCCAUUUAGAUUCUGAACGGAUAAUUUCCCUACCCAUUUCUUGUAGCAAAUCAUGCAUGCCAAGCUUGUUCUCUAUUGUAACAUUUAAGAGGCAUUUAUCAACAAGGUCGGUAAUUUUAGAAUGAGCAGCGUCAUCAUAGCAACCGUCUAGGAUUUUUGUUACACUAUCUCUACCACACCCUUUAAAGAAUAUUGCGAUAUCAAGAAAUAUCUUCUCCUCUACAUCUGCCAGCCCAUCAUAGCUAAUCUUCAGCACAUCGUUAAUUUCCGGAUUGGAAUGUUGCUUUAAUCCAUUCAAUGCACUUGUCCAAUAUGCUUUGUUCUUCUGAUAAAGUGCAGAACCCAAGACUUUAAGAGCUAGUGGAACGCCUUUAGCAUAUUCUAAAAACUUAUUUGAUAGAUCCUUCAAAUCAUCAACAAGGUGGUCUUGCUUGAAGGCAUACAUUGAAAAGAACCGAAUAGAGUCAUUGUGACUUAAUUUCUUAACCUUGUAUAUUCCAUCAACUGAUCCAUUUGUAAGGACUUGUUUGUUUCUGGAUGUUACAAUGAUUCUACUACCAGAACCAAAGUGGUCAUGGCUAAUUCCUAAAUUUUCUAAUUGGUCCCACUCACUGACAUCAUCAAGGACAAGAAGAACUCUCUUUCGACAAAGUCUAUCCUUAAUGAAUAUGGGCAUUCUAGGAGCACCGAUAUCGAGGCUGUCCUCGUUUAAUAAUUUGGAAAGAAAUCUAUCUCGCAGAGUGAUUGCAUUUGCACGUUGUUUUCCUAUCGUCGCUCUAACAUCUGCCAAGAAGUAACAACUUUCAAAUUCACCAGAGACUUCAUCAGAUAUAGCUUGAGCAAGAGUUGUUUUGCCUAUACCAGCCAUUCCCCAUAUCCCAAUAAUACAAACAUCCUUCUUCUCUUCAAUGCACAAUAGCGAUUUGAUUUGCUCCAUAGGUGGAACUAUUCCAUUGAGGCCUCUCAAUCACCUUUAAACAACCGUUUCAACUUGUUUCCAAUAUCUUGAACAAUAUGCUUAAUGACUACGGGCUCAGGCCUAUCGAAUAAGCAAAAAAAGGAGUAAGUUAGGCCUAAGGUAAUGAAGAUUAUGUGACCAAAACUUACGCUUCUAAAGGGAAAUUUUUUAAAACAAAAAUAUCAAACGAAAUCAUAUAUAAUAUUAUACUACAGAAUAUAUAAAAAUUUGAUAAAAUAUGUCAUGUAAAUGUUUAUAUAAAUAACUUAUAUUUAUGACACGUAAAAAAUUAUUUAAAAAAUUUAUUUACAGGGAUGUCUAUUUGAAUGACUUUUAAAUUGUUACCAACAAAAUCUAAUUUAGAUAUAUUAUCUCUUUAAAUUUUAAAUGAACUUCCAAAUGAUCUAAACAAUAUCUUUUUAAAUUUAAAAUUCUCAAAUAUAGUGAUAUUUUAUCAUUUAAAAUGAAUUUUUUAAUAAUCUAAAUAUAUAUAUUUUUAAAUAUAAAAAUCUUGAAUUAGUGAUGUAUCUUUUUAAAUGUAAAAUAUAGGUGUGUAAAAUCAAGAACAUAUUUUUUAAAAAGAAAAAUAUAUCUGAAGUAAGAUAAUAUUUAUUAUAUUUUAUUCAAAUUCAAAUAUAAAAAAUUCCAAUAGAUUAACAAAAAAAAUUGUUAAAUAACAUUUCCAUCAAUUUAGAUUUUGAGUUAAGAAAUGGAUAAAACUGCCCAGAUUCAAUAUUGAAUUCAAAUGAAUAGAUUAAAGUGAAAUAAAAAUUUAAAAUUUAACAAAUUCAUUUUAUUUUAUUCAAAUUUUAUCUAUUUAGAGUUUUUUUUUAAAUUUAAUUUCUCAAAAAAAUAUUUACUUUCAUUUAGUUUUGUUUUUUUUAAUUCAAAAACAUAAAUAUCACUUAUAUGUUAUAUUUAAAUUCAAAAAAUAUUUAUCAAUUUAAAAGUUAUCUAAAUAUCUUAAUUAUCAUCCAGAAUCUAUAAAUGAUUUGAGGUGCAUAGUUUUUUCUAUUCAAUUUGCAACUGUUCAUGAUUUUGUUUUUAUACAAAAAUAAUACAAUUCCUUUUUUUGCUUUUGACACACGUUUAUUAACCUUUUCUUUUCAUUUUUUUUUGCAAAAAUGAAAUAAAGAUCACAAGUGAAAAUAUGUAAAUACUACUUUUAUUUCUUCUUUAAAAAAUAGUAUUUUUCUAUUUUUCAUGCUUUUUAAUAUUUUGAUCACAAUUAUAAUAGUAAAGGUAUGUCAAACUUUUUUAUGAUUCAAUUAAAUUUUUAUUCAAUGCAUUAAGAGAAAAGAAAUUGACAUAGUAAUAUAUAGAUUGUCUAUAUAAUCUAAUAGUCAUAUGAUGUUAAAAUUUUACGUUAUCUUGCGAUCCAUUUCUUCUCCUUUUUUUUUUUUGUUUUUAUUCCUAUCAUAUUCAUAUUCAUAUUAUAUAUUUAUUGGCACGAGAAUACAUUUUUCAUCUAAUUCAAUAUUCAUAUAAAGUUAAGAUUUUAGGUAAUGUUAAAAUCUCAAUAUAAUUUUUAUCUUCAUAAAUUUCUUACAAUUCUUUAUUAUUUGUUUUUUAAUUUAAAAAUAAAAUAUCACUUAUUAUAUAAUUAUUUUUAAAUUCAAAAUAUAUAUAACAAUAUUAAAAAAAAUGAUUUAAAUUAUAUCGGUAUCUUAUUUUAUAUUAUAUUUUAAAUAUAUUUUAAAUAUAUAAAUUAAAUAAUAUGAAUUUAUAUAUUUACAUAUAUAUUUAAAUAAAUAAAAUUAAUUCGUCCACUGCACGAGUUAUCAAACUAGUUAACCAAUGGUGCAAGAAGCUUAGAGUAAGAAAAACAACUACUUACUCAUGUCCUGAAAGGUCCACCCACUUAAUUUGGCAGCUUUGGUCAAAGCAUCUCUCCACCCCUUAACCUUGUCUGUCCUGUUUCUUUCAUGGUCAACAAAAGCUUCUUCAAAACUCCCUUUUAGUUUUCGUAUAUCGGAUGGGUUAACAUGGUAGAAAAUGGGUACCACAAGUUGUUCCCGUGAAUCCCUGCAUUCCAUUAUCUUGGAGAGUUCAUCCAAGCACCAUGAUGAAGUAGCAUAGUUUUGCGAAAAAACUAUUACUGAAAUCAUUGAUUCUUCGAUUGCUUCCAACAGUGCGGGAGAAAUUUCCUCUCCCCUUGUAAGUUCGUUGAAAUCAACAUAAGCUCCAAUUCCUUUUCUUUUAAAAGCUUCAUAUAGGUGACGGAGGAAGGCAUUGCGUGUGUCUUCACCUCUAAAACUCAGGAAAACAUGAUGCUUUGCUUGAGUAGAGGAAGCAGAAGCAGAGGAAGAGGAAGCCAUAACAGAGAACAAGAAGGUUUUGUGAUGUAAGUUUGUAACACGGUAGGAAAAAGAAGUGAAUAAUGAACACAUAUAAAAAGACUCCAAAGUGAAAAAGAAAGAGAAGCAACGUGGAACCAUCGUUUGGCAAAGGAGUCAAGCAAAGGGAGACUUACAACUUGAUGCAAUGCAAUGCGCAUAUUGAAUAACUGUGAACACAUUAGUAAAAAUAAAAGUUAUAUAUUGAGUAACUUUCUAUUUCCCUUUUCAAUAAAUAUUUUUAUGUAUGACGGUAAGUAAAUAUUCUUGGUCCACCGCACGCAACGCGGAAUGGUACACUAAAAGAGUAAAGCAAAUUGUAAAAUGUCUUUGGAUUCCAUUUGGUGGGGUACAAAGUGACGAAAGAAAAGACAAGCAACGCGGAAUCGUAUACUAAAAGAAUAAAGCAGCAAAUUGUAAAAUAUCUAUGGAUUUCGUUUGGUAGGGUGCAACUGUACUAUGUUAAAAAUUCUACGAAGUGAAAAAGACAGGGAAGGAACGCGGAACAAUCAUACAUAGCAGAGGAGUCAACCAAAGGGAGACUUAGAAAUUUUUUUUUUUUUGGUAAGAAGGGAGACUUACAAAUUGAUGCAAUGCAAUGAGAAUAUUGAAUAACUAGUUUGCUAUCUGUGUGUGGAUUAUCUUUAGUUAUUUAAAUAUAUUUAAAAAUAUAAAUUAAUAUUAUUUAAUUUUUUAUAUAUUUAAAAAAUAUAUAAUGCGUAUAUUAUAAUUAAGAUAACAAAGUAUAAUAAAUUGAUUAUAAAUAUCUUUUGAAUAAAUAUAUAUAAUGAUAUAUGUGUUUUUAAAUUUAAAAAAAUAAAAAAUUAUAAGGAAAGUUACCAAUAUAAAAAUAUUGAUUUGAAAAUUUUAAAUUUGAAAAUAGAUAUUUUUAGGUGAAAUUUUAAUCAAAUAGGAUUAAUUUUUUUAAGUUUUAUAAUAUUUUAUUAUAAUUUAUUGAGAUUUUUAUUUUUAAGAAAAAAUAUAAAAAAUUAAUUAUAGAUAAUUUGGAUAAGAUUUUUUUUUAAAUUUGGAUAUUUGAAUUAAAAUAAUGUAUAAUAGGUAUUAUUCAUAUGUCAAAAAAAUGUCCAUUUAAGCAUUCAAGUGGUAAAUUUUAUCAUAUAUUCUUAUAUAUUGUAAUAUAUAUAUGAUUGAUACAAAUUACCAAUAAUAUUUAUGGAAAAAGAAAUAUCGAGUGAGAAAAUUGUAAAAAAAAAAGUUUGUAUUACCUUUUUACCCUCACCAUUAUCUAACGUAAUGAUAAAAGUUGUUUUUGUUUNNNNNNNNNNNNNNNNNNNNNNNNNNNNNNNNNNNNNNNNNNNNNNNNNNNNNNNNNNNNNNNNNNNNNNNNNNNNNNNNNNNNNNNNNNNNNNNNNNNNNNNNNNNNNNNNNNNNNNNNNNNNNNNNNNNNNNNNNNNNNNNNNNNNNNNNNNNNNNNNNNNNNNNNNNNNNNNNNNNNNNNNNNNNNNNNNNNNNNNNNNNNNNNNNNNNNNNNNNNNNNNNNNNNNNNNNNNNNNNNNNNNNNNNNNNNNNNNNNNNNNNNNNNNNNNNNNNNNNNNNNNNNNNNNNNNNNNNNNNNNNNNNNNNNNNNNNNNNNNNNNNNNNNNNNNNNNNNNNNNNNNNNNNNNNNNNNNNNNNNNNNNNNNNNNNNNNNNNNNNNNNNNNNNNNNNNNNNNNNNNNNNNNNNNNNNNNNNNNNNNNNNNNNNNNNNNNNNNNNNNNNNNNNNNNNNNNNNNNNNNNNNNNNNNNNNNNNNNNNNNNNNNNNNNNNNNNNNNNNNNNNNNNNNNNNNNNNNNNNNNNNNNNNNNNNNNNNNNNNNNNNNNNNNNNNNNNNNNNNNNNNNNNNNNNNNNNNNNNNNNNNNNNNNNNNNNNNNNNNNNNNNNNNNNNNNNNNNNNNNNNNNNNNNNNNNNNNNNNNNNNNNNNNNNNNNNNNNNNNNNNNNNNNNNNNNNNNNNNNNNNNNNNNNNNNNNNNNNNNNNNNNNNNNNNNNNNNNNNNNNNNNNNNNNNNNNNNNNNNNNNNNNNNNNNNNNNNNNNNNNNNNNNNNNNNNNNNNNNNNNNNNNNNNNNNNNNNNNNNNNNNNNNNNNNNNNNNNNNNNNNNNNNNNNNNNNNNNNNNNNNNNNNNNNNNNNNNNNNNNNNNNNNNNNNNNNNNNNNNNNNNNNNNNNNNNNNNNNNNNNNNNNNNNNNNNNNNNNNNNNNNNNNNNNNNNNNNNNNNNNNNNNNNNNNNNNNNNNNNNNNNNNNNNNNNNNNNNNNNNNNNNNNNNNNNNNNNNNNNNAUUUCUUCUAUUGCAGUGCAUGUUAAAGUCAACUCUUCGAUAUGCUGUGGCAGCUCAGGAAAUUUCUUCAAAUUUUUUAAACCAUAACCGAGUAGGCUAAAGCAAAGAGAUGUCAAAUGAACCAUGGAUGGGAGUUCAACCAAGCUUUCGCACCCACUAAUUUUCAGUUGUUCAAUAUUUUUGGAUGCUGACAAACUUGGGAUCCUGAUUAAAUUCUUGCAAUCCGAAAGAUCAAGCACUCUUAAAUUCUCAAGAUUCUGUGCAAUGAAAGCCAAGAAACAAUAUGAGAUUAGUUUAAACUUUAAAGCCUCUAAACUUAUAGGGUACUACAAAAAAUAAAAUUUAAAAACAAUAAAUAUUUUUUUUUUAUGAAAAUAAAAUGUUAAAGAAUACCUGGUCUCCAUUCCAAAGUAGUUCAAAAUUGCGACCACUUAAUCUUAAUUCAACAAGAUUCUUCGGACUAAAAUUUGACGGCAUAGAUUUCAGCAUGCAAUUCUCCCAAUGAAAAUACCUUAACUCAUCAGGAAGAGAUUUAAGACCUUUGUGCGAAGGAACCAACAUACCUCCCUUCCCAGAAAAAGUAGGAUCAUAGAAUUUGAUAAUUCUAAGAUUAGGCAUCCUUGCGAAAGCACGUGGAUGUAACUGUACUUCAUUAUUAAUUUGAGACAGGUCUAAUAAUAUUCCCUCCACUGAUUUCGUCCCCUAUAAUCAACAGCAAACAAUAAUUUACCGUAAUGCAUCAAACAUUUAUCAAGUCAAGAUGAGCAAGAAAAAAAGAAGAAAAGUUAGUUCAGUUAGCUCUUACCUUGCCCUUCUUUAACACUUUACAAACAUCAUCUGAAUUCCAUAAUCUACUACAUUCUUCUGCCCAUCGAGAUUCUGAACUGAUAAUUAUCCUACCCAUCUCUUGUAGCAAAUCAUGCAUGCCAAGCUUGUUCUCUUUUUUAUUCAAUGCACUUUCCCAAUAUGCUUUGUUCUUCUCACAAACAGUAGAACCCAAGACUUUAAGAGCUAGCGGAACGCCUUUAGCAUAUUCCAAAAACUUAUUUGAUACAUCCUUAUAAUCAUCAACAAGGCCGUUUUGCUUGAAGGCAUGCAGCGAAAAAAGCUUAAUGGAGUCAUUGUAACCUAAUCCCUUAGCCUUGUACGUUUCAUCAACUGAUCCAUUUAUAAGGACUUGUUUGUUUCUGGAUGUUAUAAUGAUUCUACUACCAGAACCAAAGUGGUCAUGGCUAAUUUCUAAUUUUUCUAAUUGGUCCCAAUCAUUGACAUCAUCAAGGACAAGAAGAACUUUCUUACGACGGAGUCUAUCCUUAAUGAGAAAGGGCAUUCUAGGAGUACCGAUAUGGAGGCCGUGCUGGUUUAAUAAUUGGGAAAGAAGUUGAUCCCGCAGAGUGAUUGCAUUUGCAACAGGUGUUUCUAACUUCUCUCUAACAUCUGCCAAGAAAUAAUAACUUUCAAAUUGACCACGGACUUCAUCAUAUAUAGCUUGAGCAAGAGUUGUUUUGCCUAUACCAGGCAUUCCCCAUAUCCCAAUAAUACGAACAUCCUCCCCUCCAAUGCACAACAGUGAUUUGAUUUGCUCCAUACGAGGAAAUAUUCCAAUGAGUCCUUCGCAAUCACCUUUAGACAACCGAUCCAACUUGUUUACAAUAUCUUUAACAAUAUCCUCAAUGACUGUGGGCUCAGGCCUAUCGAAUAACCAAAAAUAAAGAAAUGAGUUAAGCCUAAGGUAAUGAAGAUUAUAUGAACAAAACUUACGCUUCUUAAGGGAAAUUUUUUAAAACAAAAAAAUUCAAAAGAAAAUUAACCAACUUAGUGCAAGAAGCUUAGAGUAAGAAAAACAAACACUUACUUAUCUCCAGCAAUGUGCCACCCACUUAAACCGGCAGCUUUAGUCAAAGCGAGUCUCCACCCCUUAACCUUGUCUAUCCUGUUUCUUUCAUGGUCAACAAAAGCUUCUUCAAAACUCCCUUUUAGUUUUCGUAUAUCGGAUGGGUUAACAUGGUAGAAAAUGGGUACCACAAGUUGUCCUCGUGAAUCCCUGCAUUCCAUUAUCUUGGAGAGUUCAUCUAAGCACCAUGAUGAAGUAGCAUACGUCUGAGAAAAAACUAUUACGGAAAUCAUUGAUUUUUCGAUUGCUUCCAACAGUGCGGAAGAAAUUUCCUCUCCCCUUGGAAGUUCUUUGAAAUCAGCAUAAGCUCCAACCCCUUUUCCUUUCAAAGCUUCAUAUAGGUGACUGAGGAAGGUAUUGCGUGUGUCUUCACCUCUAAAACUCAGGAAAACAUGAUGCUUUGCUUGAGUUAAGGAAGCAGAAGCAGAGGAAGAGGAAGCCAUAACAGAGAACAAGAAGGUUUUGUGAUGUUGAGUCUGUAACACAGUAGGAAAAAAAAGUGAAUAAUGAACGCAACUAAAAAGACUCCAAGGUGAAAAAGAAAGAGAAGCAACGCGGAACCAUCAUAUGGCAAAGGAGUCAAGCAAAAGGAGAAUUACAGAUUGAUGCAAUGCAAUGAGAAUAUUGAAUAAUUGUGAACACAGUAAAAGCAGUUAUCAAUAAGCAGCGAUUCAAUCGUCCGUAUCAUUUUUUCGAUUAAAUGAUUUUGAGUUCGAAUUUUAUCGACAAUUAAGAGUAUAAAUAAUAUAUUGAUAUUUAUAAAUUAUUUAAAUUAGAUUAAAAUAAAAUUCAAAUAAUUUAAUCGAGUUUGAAUUAAAAUAAUUUGAUUUAUCGAUCGAGUUAAAUUAAAAUAUUUUUAUAUUCGAUUCGAAUAGUUAUUGAGUUUGAUUAAAUUUUUAUAUUUAAAUGUAUUUUUAUUAUUUUAAUUAAUAAAAUAUCUUAAAAUUUCAGUUCGAAUUUAAACAUAAAUAAUUAAAUUUUUUAUUUAAUAUAAAAAAUUAAAUUUAUUUUUAUAUAUUAAUCGAAUGAACUCGAAUAACUUAAUUUUUAUCUCGAAUUAAAUUUGAAUUAAAAAAAUAAAAUUUAAUUGAGUUCGAAUCAAGUAUUAAGUUUUAAAUUUCGAAUUGAAUUCGAAUUCGAGUUCAAGUUUAAUAUUAUAUCAAUUCGAACUCGAUCGAUUAUAUUUUUAUUGAUAAUUAUUUAUUGAGAUUAUUUUAAAUAUUUAACUUAUAAUUAUUUAUUUUAAAUUAUUAAAUAUGAUAUAUUUUAUUAUAACGGAUUAAAUAAUUUAUUUAUUUUCGAAUUUUUGUUAAAAAAAGAGUAAAAGCAGUUUCCCUUUUAUCAAUUUUAUAAGUCUGUUCUUUUUUCAAUAAAUUUUUUAUGUAUGACAGUGAGUAAAUAUUCUCGGUCCACCGCAAGCAACGAGGAAUGGUACAUUAAAAGAGUAAAGCAAAUUGUAAAAUGUCUUUGGAUUGCAUUUGGUGGGGUACGGAGUGACAGAAGAAAGACAAAGCAACGCGGAAUCGUACGCUAAAAGAGUAAAGCAGCAAAUUGUAAAAUUAUCAUUGGAUUUCGUUUGGUAGGGUGCAAAUGUAAUAUGUUAAAAAUUCAAUUAAUCUUAAAACCUUAAAAUUGCUUAUAUCGAGAUAUUAGUUAUAACUUAUGAGUAUAAAUCAUUAAAGUUAUCAGGGGAUGGUUUUUUUCUUAAAACCACAGAUUUUUUUAUAUAAAUCAAUGUUUUUAAAAUCCACAAAGUUAAGGAUUAGUUUUUAAAGUAUAUUUAUAAAAAUUAAUAAAUUAUUUCACUAGUAAGAUUUAAAUACUCCAUCAUUAGUAUAAAAUUAAUAAUUUAUUAAUUAUUUUAUUUUUAUUUUAUUUUAUAAAAAGACAUGAAAAAAUUAAAAUAAAAAACCUUAAUUUAAAAAAGGUAUGUUGAUUAUAUUCUACAAAACAUUUUGUAGUUAAAAUAAUGGUUAUUAUUGUCAAGAGUGACAUGUGUGUGUAGUGAUAGCAACAGGUCGGAUCGAAAUUGAUUUUUGCUCGUCUCGAAUUCGAUCCGACUUUAAACAUAUAAAAUUCGUAUAUGUACUUGACCCGACAAAUUUUUUUAUUUUUAAUACUCAAAUUCGAUCUGACCUGAUAUUGUAUAAAAUCAAAUUCGACUCAAUUUGACCUUAAAUUAAUAAAAUAUUAUUUUAAAUAUAAAUAUAAAAUUAAUUAAUUAAUUAAUUAAAAAAAUAAUUUUUUUAUAUAUAUCAGGUCGGAUUUGCCUAAAACCCGACCUUGAUCCGAACCCGAAAUUCUUCUAAUGCUACCUGAUUCUACUCGACCCGAUACCUGAUUUUCAAAAAAAAACUGACCUUAAAUGAUCGAGUUGGAUCGAAACCUAUCGAUUUCGGGUAUUGUUGCCUUCCCUAUGUGCUUGCGAAAUGAGAUAUAGGGCUCAUUAUUUUUAAAAGAAAUUAUUUGAUAACAUAUAUUUUAUUUUUUAUAAAUUAAUUUUUUUAAAAUUUAUACUAAAAAAUAUAUAUUAUAAUUAUAAUGUUAUUUGUUAAAUUAAAAAAAUCUCAUACCAAUGUAUUUAAUAAAUUUUUUUAUUUUAAUCUUUUAUUAAAAAAAUAAAAAUCUCACUUAUCAUGUCUCGAAUCUAUAAAUAAUUAUUUUUUAUUACAGGAAGAACUAAUAAAUAAUCAUUAGAGUUGGCAUCGGGGCGGGGCGGGGCGGUUUUUUGCUUUCCCCGCCUCCGACCCGAUGCUUCAAUAUUUUACCCGAUACCCGAUCCGUACCCGCUCGAAGGUUGUUAUUGAAAAACCCGACCCCGACCCGCUAGAAUAUUUUUUACCCGAAUUUAACCCGACCCGACCCGAAUUCAAUAUACUACCUAUUUAAAUUUACCAAAAAUGUAAUAAAUUAUAAUCUAAAUAUAUUACAAGCAUUAACAAAUUUAACAUAAUCACUCAUAAAUUCAAACUUAAUACAUACUAUUUUUUUAUCUAGUAAAAAUCUCAUAAAUUCUCAUCAUAAAUAAUAUAAUUAUAAAAUACAUAAAAUAUAGUAAAUUCAAACUCACAAAUUCUUACCAUAGAUGAUGGAAUUAUGAAAUAUAUAAAACUUAGUAAACUAAAAUUCAAAUAUUAAACAAGCAUAAGUUAAUAACUAAAUUUAAACAUAAUACAUGAUACAAGAUGAACAUCAAAAGCUUAAAUCACCACAAUAAAAGCUAAACUGUUUGAACAUCCUUUCAUCCAACAUGAUAAAAAUCUUUCAAGACCAUAAUAAAUCAUUCCAUCAUCACUAAGCUCCAUAUCAUCAUUCUCCUGUAACCACACUAGUCCUAUAAAAUAAAACAAUAAGAUGAAUAAAUAAAUCUCAUAAAAUAAUAUAUUUAAAAAUAAUAAUAUAAAAAUGAAUUAAUUAAAAAAAUAAUAUUAUUUACCAAACUAGUUAUCUUUUCCUCAAUCUCACUCUCAUCAACAUCUUCGUAAAAAUACUUUUCUUCUAAUAAAAUUGACCCUACAAAUAAAAAAAUAAACUAUUAACAAAUAAUAUAUAACAACAAAAUAUAAUAACUAACAAUAUGCUAAAAUAAAAAAUAAAAUUGCAUAAUAUAUAUUAUUGUACCUUCUUCUUCAACCCAUAACCAAUUUUGACAACAUGUUAAAGCUUCUAUAGUUGAUGGAUGAAGUCUAUUACGUUGCGCACUCACUAAUCUCCCUCCGGUACUAAAAGUAGACUCUGAAGCAACAGUAGAAACUGGUAUGGCAUAAAUAUCUCUAACAAUAAGUUGUAAGGUCGGAAAUUGAGGUCCAGUUAGUUUCCACCAAUUCAAUAUAUCAAAAUCUCCUUUUCUUGGUAUGACUUCUUCAUCCAAAUAGCGAUCUAACUCUGACUUUACUUUUGAUUUUUUCUUUUUUUUCCUUGAAACAAAAUCAUCAUAGUCUCCCAAAUUUCCCAAUUCAGUAGCAUCAACACCAUCUAAGAAUGAAAAGCUUGAACUAGAAGGUCCUUCUUCCUUUUUCAAAGCCAAUUUCUCCUCAUACUCCUUAACCAAAUCCCGACAUAUUUGUACAAUCCUUUCAAUUUCAAAUUCAGCAUUUUCUCCAUAAAUCUUUUCAAAGUAAUACUCCAACAACUCUGUUUUGUAUCUUGGAUCUAAAAUUGUGGCAACACCCAUUAUACCAUGCACAUCAUUCCAAUACUUUUCAAAUUUGCCUAACAUGCUCACAGCCAUACAUGAAAUAAUUCUAUUGGUAUGCAUAAUCCAUUCAUUCAAUGCCAAUCUGAUUUUGCAAACAUUAGGAAAAUAAAGAUUUGCAGUAGCAUAUUUUGUGCCAGAAAAACCUUCAGUGAUAUCAUAAAACAAUUUCAACUUCUCACAAAUCUCAGUUGCAAUGAUCCAAUCAUUUUUAGUUGGCAAAUAUUUGUACAAAAGAUCACCAUGUAAUUGCACACAACGAGGAAAGACAUCUUUAUAAAACAAAGCUGUUCGAAGCAUUAAGUAAGUAGAGUUCCAUCGUGUUUUGACAUCAACACACAACUUUUUUAAAGUUGGAAUGCGCAAUUGACGCGCUGCCUCUUCAAAUUUUUCCCAUCUCUUUGGUGUAGCACUCCAAAAGAGGACACUAUCACGAAUUCUAUCAAUUCCAUCUCCAAUCACACUUAAUCCAUCUUUCACAAUCAAAUGCAAGAUGUGUGCACAACAACGCAUAUGAAAAAAAGUCCCACUAAGCAAAAGUGCAUCACAACCAAUUCUAUCAAUUAACAACUCAAUAACACCAUCAUUCACACUACAAUUAUCCACUGUAAUAGAUGAAAGUUUUCUAUCAAUAUUCCAAUCUAAGAAACAUUUCAUCAAACUUGAAGUAAUGACCUCUUUCGUAUGUGGAGUUGGCACAUAUUCAAACCUAAUUAAACAAUCAAUUAUUUACACUAAUUUAAUAAUUAAUUCAAUAAUAAUAAUUACUUAAUAAAAAAUGAACAAUAUCAAAAUAAGACAAUUUAAUAAAAUAUACCUGAUGAUGCGUUUUUGUAAGUUCCAUUGAUUAUCGAUGUAAUGAGCAGUGACAGCCAUGUAUCCUCUUUUUUGGUGAUCAGUAGUCCACAUAUCAGUUGUGAUAGCAAUUCUCCCUUCAUUAGCUUCCAACUUAGAUAUUGUCUUUGCCUUUUCCUCUCUGAAAAUCUUUAAAAUAUCACUCUUUAUAGUAUUUCGAAAAGGCAUAGCAAACAAACGUUGGAGACUGUAAGAAUACUUUCUGAAUUGCACAUGAUCAACCAUUGAUAAGGGGUAUUCAUGCAUGAUUAUCAUCUUGGCAAGCUCCCUCCUUGUGACAUUUUGAUCAAAGGAAAAGUUUUUUAAUGUUAAUUUUCCAUCUGCCUUCCUUUGAUUUGCUAGCAACACUUGUUGACGAAUAUCCAUUUGAAAUCGUUUACUGCACCUCUCUGAAUGAUCACGCAAAUGACUUGUCCCAUUCUUAGAAGCACCACCAAGUUUUUUCUUACAAUAAUUGCAUAUUGCCUUCCAUUCAUUAUUGAUCUUCUCUUUUCUAAAAUGUUUCCAUACUUCUGAUUUUAACUUACUUGAGUUAUACCCACUAUUAUCAACUUCAGCACCCUCGUUAGUCACACUUAAUGAUAGAGUUGUAUUUUCGUCAGAUGUUGGAAUAGGAGUUUGCUGAAUUGGUGACUGAUGUGAGGUAGAAGUAGGAGGUGUUGGGGAACACGAAUUAUCUCCCAAAUUAGACAUUUCACCUUCAUUCAUAAAAAAAAAAAAUUAGAGUUAUUAUUUUUUAUAUUAACAAAUAAAGCAACUAAAUAAAUUAACUGUUACUAAAAGCAUAAGGACAACUAUUCUUUUUCACGUUUCUCAGCAUCCAUUUCUCAAGACUUUAAUAUUGUACUUAAGUUUCCUUAAAUUUCUUUAAAACAAAACUGGAAUUCCAACUUGCCAUUGGAGAUUUUAGGCCUAUCAUAUAUUAGAGAGCAUGAUUAUUUUUACUCAUUUUUUCUUGCAAAAAGAAAAUAACAGUAAAAGUCUAGUGUAAUAAUUUUUUCCUUUGAUAGUUCAUAUCAUCCAAUUCAAACAGUUACUCUAGCAUUGACUCCAAGCAACAAAAGCAUUUAAUCACAAACUGAAAAUGAUGAUUUUAUACAGACUUUUCUAGGUUGAGACCCACAAGUAAACAUAAUAUUAACUAUUCUCCCUAUUGUCACAACUAACAAGCCUCAAUAAGGUAAUACUAACAAACCUAACUAAUGACACUGGUACAUUCAAUUCAAGCAUAUUAUAUUGGUCUAGAGAUAGAUUCACAAAGAACAUUAAAAAAUUUGAAACAGAAAUUUUAUUCACAAACACAUAGUCGCCCACUUACUGAGUGAACAGUGAGGAUAUUCGAAACUGAAUGCUGCCGAAUCAGUCAACAUAGUCGUCCGAACUGCGCAGUUGAUUGUCAAGGACCUACGUUAGUUUAGAUGACCUAUCUGGUCAAUAAGACCAGAUAAAUGGAUGCGCCAAUCUUGUCCACCCAGCGUCUUCCAAAGUCCAUGUUUGGCAGAAGAGGACUAGCAGACAAUGCGUCCCAAAUUUGGUUCCAACCAGUCGCCCACCACUGCCUGAGGUCGAUCCGUCGGAAGGGAUUACGCCAGAACUGGAUGCGCCCAAAUCUGGUUCCAACAAGACCCCCAGUCUGGAUGCGCCCGAAUCUGGUUCCAACCAGUCGCCCACCACUGCUUGAAGUUGAUCCGUCAGAAGGGACUACGCCCAGAACUGGAUGCGCCCAAAUCUGGUUCCAACCAGUCGCCCACCACUGCCUGAGGUCGAUCCGUCGGAAGGGACUACGCCAGAACUGGAUGCGCCCAAAUCUGGUUCCAACAAGACCCUCAGUCUGGAUGCGCCCGAAUCUGGUUCCAACCAGUCGCCCACCACUGCCUGAGGUCGAUCCGUCGGAAGGGACUACGCCCAGAACUGGAUGCCCCUAAAUCUGUUCCAACCAGUCGCCCACCACUGCUUGAGGUCGAUCCGUCGGAAGGGACUACGCCCAGAACUGGAUGCGCCCAAAUCUGUUCCAACCAGUCGCCCACCACUACCUGAGGUCCAGUCGCCCACCACUGCCUGAGGUCGAUCCGUCGGAAGGGACUACGCCCAGUCGCCCACCUGCCUGAGGUCGAUCCGUCGAAACAAAAGGGACUACGCCAGAACCGGAUGCUCCCAAAUCAAUUAGUAAACAAACAAGAUUUUCGGCAAAAGAAACAAAAUUCAGAACCCUAAAAGAAAUUACUUAUAUAUAUAGUAAGGGUAUUUUGGUAAAUAUCUCGGGUCGGGUCGGGUUUCACAUAAAAUCGACCCCGACCCGAAUCCGACAUUUUUAAAAAUAAAACCGACCCGAACCGACCCGAAACCCGUUUUUUCAAAAAAAAAAUCCGCCCCUAAAUAAUCGGGUCGGAUCAAAACCCGACGGUUUCGGGUUAAUUUGCCGACCCUAAUAAUCAUCCAUCAUGUCAUAAAUUUAUGCAAUUAAAAAUACCUAUAGUAUCCAUUUAAAGUGAUUGUUAUAAAUUAAAAAACUUUAAAAAAUUUUAUUUCAAUUGAAAGGUUAUGACUCAAGCUAUACUUUCUUUUUUUUGCUAUUUAAUUUCUGUUUUUUUUUUUUUGUAAAUAUUUCAGUCAAUAUAUUUUAUAAAAGAGACGUGUAAAAAUUAAAAUAAAAAAACCAAUUUAAAAAAAUAUGUUACCUAUAUUGCACAAAACAUUUUGUGAUUAAAAUAAUGGUUAUUAUUAUUAAGAAUGAUAGGUGCAUGCGAUAGGAGGUAUCAAGGCUCAUUAUUUUUAGAAGAAAUUAUUUGAUAUAAUAAUAAUGAAAUUUUUUUAAUUUUAUAAGAUUAAGAUGGUAAUAUAUUUUUAUUUUUUUAAAUUAAUUUUUAAAAUUUUUAAAUAUAUAUUAAAAAAACAUAUGUCAUUAUUUUAAUUUUAUUCAUAAAAUUAAAAAAUUUUAUCAUUAAUAUAUUUAAUAAUUUAUCUAUUUUUAAUCUCCUGUUAAAAAAGAAAAAAUAAAAAUAGUUUCCCUUUUAUCAAUUUUAUAACUUUCUAUUUCUUGCUUCAAUAAAUACUUUUAUGUAUGUAGGAUAUUCUCAAUAUUGUUGGCCCACUUUAUCAAUUUGUUAUUACCCCAAAGCAAAUUAAAAAAUGUCUUCCGUUAGUUUGGUGGGUACAAAGUGACAAAAGAAAGAAACAAUGCGGAAUCGUACAACAAACGAGUAAACCAAAAUGUCUUUGGAUUCCAUUUGGUGGGGUACAAUGUGACAAAUCGUCAAAAAGAACGACGAGCAACGCGGAAUCCUACAAUAAAUGAGUAAACCAAAUUGUAAGAUGUCUUUGAAUUCUGUACGGUGGGGUGCCAAUUUACUUUGUUGAAAAUUCUACAAAGUGAACACCAAUGUUUUAACAUUACCAGUUACAUUCCUACUAUUUGAAAGGACGAAAUAUUUUUUUUUUUAAUUUUUAUUUCUUGAUUUCGUUAGGUAGGGUGCAAACGUACCAUGUUAAAAAUUCUACAAAGUGAAAAAGAAAGAGAAGGAACGCGGAACCAUCAUACAUAGCAAAGGAGUCAAGCAAAGGGAGACUUACAAAUUGAUGCAAUGCAAUGAGAAUAUUGAAUAACUAGUUUACUACCAAUGUGUGGAUUAUCUUUAGUUAUUUAAAUAUAUUUUAAAAUAUAAAUUAAUAUUAUUUAAUUAUUCAUGUAUUCAAAAAAUAUAUAAUACAUAUAUUAUAAUUAAGAUAUCAAAUCAUAAUAAUUUGAUUAUAAAUAUCUUUUGAAUAAAAUUAUAUAAAAUGAUAUAUGUGUUUUUAAAUUUUAAAAAAUAAAAGAUUAUAAGGAAAGUUACCAAUAUAAAAAUAUUCAUUUGAAAAUUUUAAAUUAGAAAAUAGAUAUUUUUAGGUGAAAUUUUAAUCAAAUAAGAUUAAUUUUUUAAGUUUUUAAAUAUUUUUAUUAUAAUUUAUUGAGAUUUUUAUUUUUAGGAAAAAUCAUACAGAAUUAAUUAUAGAUAAUUUAGAUAAGAUUUUAUUUUUAAAAAAUUUGAUAUUUAAAUUAAAGUUAUGUAUAAUAGGUAUUAUUCAUAUGUCAAAAAAAUGUCCAUUUAAGCAUUCAAGUGGUAAAUUUUAUCAUAUAUUCUUAUAUAUAUAUAUAUAUAUAUAUAUAUGAUUGAUACAAAUUACCAAUAAUAUUUAUGGAAAAAGAAAUAUCAAGGGAGAAAAUUGUUUAAAAAAAAGUUUAUAUUACUUUUUUACCCUCAAUACUGUUUAUCGUAACGAAAAAAAGUUGUUUUUUAUUUGCAAGAAUCUAAACUUUUUUUCAUUUUAACCCUGCUCAUUUGGUUUUUAGGGUCGUCGUUUUUUAAAAAUCUAUUAUUCUUUUUUAAUUUGAUUUUUUUUGUUCAUUCUAAGGUAAUUAUUGUUGGUUUAAAUUGUGGAAUGUAAUAUUUUCUAAAUUUUAAUGAAGAUAAAAGAUACACAUAAAUUUUCAAUAUGAUGUAAGAGAUUUCAUCGAUGAAUUUAUCUUUUAAAAUACAAAAAGAUGCUAUUUUGAAUCUAAACCAAAAAACAAAAAAAAAGAUUUCACAGAUAAAUUUUUUUGGGUUGUGCAAUAUACAUAUAAACUGUACAUGUUGCCAAUCUAACACGUACAAUAUGUUAGUUUUAUAUUUACAUAAUAAACUUGACGUAAAAAAAUAAAUAUAUAUGAUUUUAGACAUCAUUUAAUUUUCUAAAAUAUAUAAAAAUAAGUUUUAAACAUAUCAUUAUAAAUUAAUGUUGAAAUAUUGAAUUUUUAAUCACCAAAUAUCUUGGAAUCGGAAAUGUACAUAUAACUAGUAUGUACGUAAAUUUAAUGCAAAAUAUAUGUAAAAUAAUUCUAGUUAUAUAUGCACUAAUAAAUUUUAAAAGAUCAACAUUGUUAAUUUCAAUAGAAAAAAAGGUAUGCAUUGGAGAAAAAAUACGGGGGAAGUUAGGAGCUUUAAAAUUGCUUAAUUAUUCUUUUUUGGCCUUACACCUUUAUUUGAAUUAUCAUUUUUAAUUAUAUUAUAUUCAAUUAAUCUUAAAUUUUAAAAUUGCUUAUCUUGUGAUAUUAGUUGCAAAUAAUGAGUAUACAUAAUUAGCUAAGUUAUCAGGUGAUUUUUUUUUCCUUAAAAUUUACUGUUUUUUUGGAAAAAAUUAUUUGAUAUAUUGGUAAUAAGAUUUAUUAAUUUUACAAGCAAAAUUAAAAGGAUAAUGUAUAUUUUAUUUUUUUAAUUAAUCUUUUUAUUUUUUAAAUAUAUAUUAAAAUACAUAUAUCACCUUUUAUUUUUUUAUGAAAUUAAAAAUUUUAUCAUCAUAUAUUUAAUAAUUUUUUAUUUUUAAUCCCUUGUUUGAAAAAGUAAAAGUAAUAGCAGUUUCCCUUAAUUUCUAUUUCCUUGUUCAAUAAAUAAUUUUGCAUACGACUGUAAGUACUCAUAUUCUUGGUCCACCGCAACAAUUUGCAACUACCCUCGAGCAAAUUGGAAAAUGUCCUAGAUUCCGUUUGGUGGGGUACAAAGUGAGCAACGCGGAAUCGUACACUAAAGGAGUAAAGCAAAUUGUAAAAUGUCUUUGGAUUUCGUUUGGAGGGGGUGCAAAUGUACUUCGUUGAAAAUUCUACGAAGUGAAAAAAGAAAGAGAAGGAACGCGGAACCAUUGUCAUAGCAAAGUAGUCAACCAAAGGGAGACCUAUAAAUUGAUACAAUGCAAAGAGAAUAUUGAAUAAUUGUAACACAUUACUAAUAUUAUUUAUGGAAAAAGAAAUAUCAAAAGAAAAUUGUAUAAAAAGGAAGGUUGUAUUACUUUUUUACCCUCACCACUAUCUAACUUGAAGAACAAAUGUGUUUUUAUUUCCAAGAACCUAACCCUUUUUUUUCAAUGUAAACAUGUUCAUUUAUUUUUUAAGGUUGCCAUCUUUUUAUAAAAUCUAUUAUAUCUUUUGCAUUUGAUUUUUUUUUUUCAUUAUAAGGUAAUUAUUAAUGAUUUGAAUCGUGGAACGUAAUUGUUUUUCUAAAUUUUAAUAAAGAUAAAAAUUUACACUUAAACUUUCAAUUUGGUGUAAAAGAUUUCAUUGAUGAAUUUAUCUUCUAAAAUACAAAAGAUGCUAUCCUUCGACCUUAACAAAAAAUGGAUUUCAUUGAGUUGUGAAAUAUAAAUAUAAACUUAAUAAUAUGUACAUGCUGUUAAACUGAUAUGAACAAUAUACCAGAUUUAUAUGUACAUAAUAAACUUGAUGUAAAAAAAAUUGUGCAUGAUUUUAGACAUCAUUUAAUCUUCUGAGAUCAUCUUUGAUAAAAAUAAUGAUAUAUAGAAUACGAUGAUAAUCAUCUUAAAUUAUAUUUAUAUUAUAGAUAAAAAAAAAGAUUAUAAAGAGGAUUAUCAUUUUUUUUAUAUAAAAUGAUUAAAUUUUAAAAUUAUAAUAAAAUUUUAAAUUUUAUAAAAUUAAAAAAAAUAAUUUUUAUCAAUAAAUAAUUAUAUCUUAAUAUUUAUGCAUAUCAAAUAUAAGAUAAAAUAAUAUUAUUUAAUAUAAUUUUAUUAUAAUAUCAUUUCAUCUUAUCUUAUCAUAAUAAAAAAAUUAUAUGUACAAUUGAAUCUAAUUAUAUCUACACCGAUAAAUUAAAAAAUAAAAAACUCAACGUUGUCGAAAAUACUAAUUACAGUGGAAAGAACGAGAAUGCAUGGGAGAGAAAAAGACGAAAGAAGGCAGAAGCUUAAAAUCAACUACUUGUAUUAUUGGUUUUGCAUUUUUUUUGUCUUAUUAUACCUUUAUUUGAAUUAUUAUUUUUAAUUACAUUAUAUUCAAUUAAUCUUAAAAUUUUAAAUUGCUUGUCUUCUAAUAUUAGUUACAAAUUAUGAGUAUACAUAAUUAACUAAGUUAUUAGAUGAUUUUUUUUUCCUUAAAAUCCACAGUUUUUGGGAUAAAUCAAUUUUAUAAAAUCCAUAAAGUUAAGGAUUAAUUUCUAAAAUAUAUUUAUAAAAAUUAAUAAAUAAUUAAAUUAUUUCACUUGUAAAGUUUAAACACUCCAUUAUUAAUAUAAAAUUAAUAAUCUUUAGUUAUCAUAUAUAAUAUUAUUUUAUAACAUACGUAGAGAUUUGAUAAAAUUUAUUUAAAUGGACGUUUAAGUUGAUGGUUUCUCUUUUCGAUAUGUAGAAAAUUUUUUAAAAUUUCUUUUUGUAAUGAUGUGUAAAACACUUUCUAAUUUUAAGUUAUUUAUCAAAAAAUAUAUUUUUAAAAAUUAUUUAAUUAUCCAAAAAUUUUAAAUUUAGUUGGAAGAUCAAUUCAAUUACUCUUAAAUUGCUAACAACAAAAUAUAUUUUAAACAUAUUAAUUUUUAAAAAUACAUUUUCAAAUAAUCUAAGUAUAUAUAUAUAUUUUUAAUUUAAAAUUUCAAAUACAGCGAUAUAUUAUCUUUUAAAUAAUUUUUUGAUAAUAUAAAUAUAUAUUUUUAAAUCUAAAAAUCUCAAAUGAAAUGAUAUUAUAAAAUAAAUUUUUUAAUAGUUUAAAUAUAUAUCAAAUUAAAUUUGAAAUUUUAAAAUAUAACUUUUAUUUUUAUUAGAGAUUUCAUAAUAAUCCUUUAUUAUUUGGUUAUUUUUAAAUUUAGAAAGAUCAAAUAUUAUAUACAUUAGAAGAUAACUUACUAUUUAAUGAUACUCUCAAUGUUUUUUUUUUUUUUCAACCUUAGUGCUUGAAAAGAAAUAAUUUUUUAACCUGUGAGAUAUAAAAAAGUUUUUGUUAUAUUUUUAUAAUUUUUUUAUAUAUGAUAAUAUUUUUUAUAAAGAAACAUGUAAAAUUUAAAAUAAAAACAUUAAUUUAAAAAAGUAUCUUGUUUAUAUUCCGUAAAACAUAUUUGUGGUUAAAAUAAUGACUAUUCUUAUUAAGACUGACAAGUGCGUGCGAUGUGAGGUAUCGAUGCUCAUUAAUUUAAAAAAAAAUUAUUCGAUAAAUUAAUAAUAAAAGUUUUUAAUUUUACAAGGAGAUUAAAAAAAGUAAAAGUAAAAGUAAAAACAGUUUCCCUUUAUCAAUUUUGUAACUUUCUUUUCCUUUUUGAAUAAAUAUUUUUAUGUAUGACCAUGACUACUCAAUAUUCUUGGUCCACUGCAUCAAUUUGUUAUUACCCCUCAAACAAAUUGAAAAAUGUGGAUUCCGUUUGGUGGGGUGCAAAGUGACAAAAGAAAGACAAGCAAUGCGGAACCGUAUAAUAAAAUAGUAAAGCAAAUUGUAAAAUGUCUUUGGAUUUCGUUUGUUGGGCGAGUGGGGUGGAAACGUACUCUGUAGAAAAUUUUACAAAGUGAAAAAAGAAAGAGAAGGAACGCGGAACCAUCAUACAUAACAAAAGAGUCAAGCAAAGGAAGAAUUACAAAUUGAUGCAAUGCAUUGAGAAUAUUGAAUAAUUGUAACAUUGCUAAUAAUAUUUAUGGAAAAGAGAUAUAUCAAGUGAGAAAAUUGUAAAAAAAAAAAAAAGGAAAUUUAUAUUACUUUUUUACCCUCUCCUUUAACUAGCAUUAAAAACAAACGUGUUUUUCUUUCCAAGAACCUAACCCCUUUUAUCAAUGUAACCCUGCUCAUUUAUUUUGUUAAGGUUGCCAUUUUUUUUUUAUAAAAUCUAUCAUAUGCAUAAAAUUUUUUAAAUUCGUAUUUUUCUUUAUUUAAUGGGUAGCGACAAUUCUGUAACUCUUUAAAAAAAAUAAAAAGAUAAUUUUUUUUAAUUUUUUAUUAAUUUUUUAUAAACAUAUUUUUAAAUGAAAAAAUAUAUUAAAUAAUAGGAUCAUUUAAAACUUAUAAAUAUAUAUUUUAAAUGAAAAUAUAUUAUAUCUAAGUAUUAAUAAAUUGGUAAAGAAUUUAAAACUAAAAAAUCACCAUGAAGGCAAAAAACAAGAUGCAAGAUAAAAAGAUGCAGGAUAAAAAUUCAGUUGAGACCCAAAAUACUAUAAUGGAGACAAAUAUUAAAAAAAAACCCAAAAAAUAAAAAAAGAAAGGAUGUACAAUAUGCCAAAAUGUAGCAUCAUUUUAUUUAACAAAUAGUGUCUUUUGUUAAAGGACUAAAAAUAAACAAGCAUUUUCUGUGUAAACACCAUUUAUUAUUAUUAUUAUUAUUAUUAUUAUUAUUAUUAUCAUUAUUUUCCUAUUUUUUCUUUUUUUUUCUUUCUUCUUCUUCCUUAUUCGAUUCAAGUUGACUAAGGUAUGAGUGUAUUAAAUGCACCAUCACCAAAGUCUAAAAUACCAGCGAUCGUCACUAUCGACAACCGUUUGACACACUGCCUAACUUAGCAGGGUGAAUUUUAGGUUUAAAAAAAUAGGAUUCGAAUCCCAAAAAAAUAUGAUAUUUAAAUCCCAAAAAGCUCUAUAAAUAGAGCUUGUUACUUGCAAGAAAAAAAAACUACCAAAAAAAUUGCAAAAAAAAAGCAUUCUGUAAAAAAAAUACCAAAAAAUAAAAAUAAAAAAAUCUAGAAACACAGUCCCCUAGAAUGGAGAACCCAGCGUAAAAAAAAAACACCUACAAAAAAAAAUCAAGUUAGAAUACAUAAAAAAAAAAUUUUUUUGUCGAAACUUCCAGGCCAAAUUGUGCCGUUUAGGAUACUUUCAGGUGAAAUGGAUACUGGAUCUGUGUUUAGAGAGUUGAGGAGAACAUUUUAGGUGAUUUUGACUUUUUUCGAUCAUCGACGACAACGAUCACCUAUCGACAAUGGCGGCGGCAACCGACCGGCCACAUGCUUUUGGCUAAAGAGAAAAAAAAGAGGGGUAUUUUUUGUGGGAGAGGAGAAAUGACCAAAAAAAAUUUUGGACUUUUAUAUAAACUGCCAAUAGCCAAAAUGACGUUGUUUCAAUAAACACCCAAAAUGAUGUCGUUUUGAGCUUUAAGGAUCCACACGUCAACCUCGUGACCUAACCUAGGGUCCGCACACUCGACCCACAACCCGUUUCUCCCUCAACCUCUGACUGGUCCAACUGAACUAAUCCAGACCGAAUCGAACAGUUUCUAAACUGCUUAACCAACCCAGACCGAACCGCUAACACUAGACCACACCGUCUACCGAAUCGAGCAUUGAUCGGACCGUUGACCGAUUCGGUUCAAGUAAAAAAUAUUUUUAAAAUUUUUUUUAUAUAUAUUAUUUUUGUUAUUUUAAUUAUUAUUUUAAAUAUUUUAUGCAUGUUAAAAUAUUAAAAUCAAUAAAAAUAAAAAUUUUAUUGUUUUAUAAUAAUAAAUAAUAAAUAAUAAAAUAUAAUAAAAAGUUUUUUAUAAUUUUGAAUAAACCUUAUAAAAUAAUUGGUAAAAAAAUGUUAAUUAAAUAAAAAUAAUACAAAAUUAAUUAAAAAAUAAGAAAAGAAAAAUUUAUCCAAUGAUGGGAUUCAAAGGUAAUUCAAGUAGUGAUGCCUAUGAAAUCUCUAGGUGAGAAGAUUUUUUUCAAAUACUACCUGUGUAUUGGAGUAUUUAUAAAAAUUUUUCAAUACAAUAAAAUUUUUUUUUUGUUAAUAAUAAAUAAAAAUUAAUUAAUUUAUUAAAAAUAAUAGUAAAAAAUAAGAAAAAAAAAUUUCAUCCAAUGAUGGGACUCUAAAAAUAUUUUGAGUAGUGAUGCUUUACGAAAUUCCUAGGUGAGAAGUUUUUUUAAAAUAUUACUAGUAUAUUAGAAUAUUUAUACAAAAUUUUCAAUAUAAUAAAAUUCUUUUUUUCUUCAAAAUUUCAAUUAAAAAAAAUUAAUAAAACAAUAAAUAAAUUUUCUAAAAAAAGAAUAAAAUGUGCGCAUCAACAUGAUAACAUUCUACAUUGCAUGCACGACAUAAUUUUUUACGAAAAAUAAAUUUGAACCUCUAAGGAUGGGACUUUAAGAUAUUUCGAAAAGUGAUGCCUAACAAAUUUUUAGAUGAAAGAUAGUUUUUUUAAUGUUACCAACGUACUGGAACAUUUUAAGAGUUAUUUCAAUAAAAGGGUUUUAAUUUAUUUUUCUCGAAUAAAAUUUGAACAAUAAAAGAAAAAAAUAAUUUCUAAUAAAAAAAUCAAGAAAAUUAUUUUUCAAAUACCGAAAAUAAGAUUUUUUUUUAUCAAAAUCAAAGGAUAACACGUAGUUAAUUGAUACCGUUUUAAACGGGUAUUAUGGGGAUGCUAAUCUUUCCCUGCAUGUAACCGACUUUCGAACCCAGAUUGUUACGCGGACCUUAAAAUUAUCCCUUUUAAUAAAUUUUAAUUAAUUUUUAAAUUUCAUUAAAAUGAUAUGUUUUAAUAGGUGACCAAUCGCACCUAGCCAAAAAAGAUUGGUGGUAACCCUCAUUUUUUAUUUCGUUUUCAAAUUCUUCAGGCGAACACAAAACUGUUAUGACACCCUGUAUACAAAAAUAGAGAAUAUGUGAUUAAUAUAUGUUGAUCAGCAUCUUCUUGAAGAUAUGAAGUGAAAUCAUCCCAAUAAACUAAAAUAUGGUGUCAAUGGAUUAGAUUUCCUUGAAAUAAACUAAACAAGUUUUGCAUCCAUGAUUAAAGGUUAUUAUUAGUGAAAGGCAAAAAGAAAAUCAUGCUUUUUGUGCAUGCAGUUGGCAGAAGAUGGAGAAUUCAAUAUGGUUUAUCAUGGUUGAAAGUUCGAGUACAAACUACAAUAUCCAAAUUUUCUAUUGGACAAUGGUUAAUUCAUGAACAUAGAUCAGUUCUGCUACAAUGCAACUCCAAGUUGCUUGUAAGAGACUAUAAACACAUUAGAUCUUUCUAUACAUUAACGUAAGCAACUACUUUCUGCUAAUUUUCUAUCUAAUUCUUUUUCUUCAUUUUUUUGGUACGAACUGACACAUCUAUUUCUGUUCAUUUGUACACAUUUUUUUAGAAAGAAUUUGUUGGUGUCGAGCUCCAACUUGAAAGUAUUUUUAAAAAUACAAAAAAAAAGAUGGUUAGAGGUAAAGGUAGGGUAUGUUUCUUGUAUUUACACUUUGACACAUAAGUCAGUAAAGAUCAGGUUAGUAAAAAAGUAGAAAUGAAAGAAAGAAAUGAAUGGAAUGAACCUACCUUAGUGGUUCUUGGAUCUUUAUAAUUAUAGGUAAGCUAUGAGGGACCAUUAGGAGAUAAUAAGGAUAAGACCUAGCUGAGGUGGUACUGAUUAUGUUAUAUCGACUUGACAUGUUAGAUCAGCAUAAAUGAUAAGGAUACCCCUGAUUGUCUGUUGAAAGCUUUGAGAGGAAAAAAACCAUUAUAUCUUUUUUAACCAUUAAAUUCCCUAACACUCUAUCCCUCCAUCAAGUGGUCUAAGUAUCCAAUUAUCAAAUUUAUUACCGACAUCUCUAGCAUAAGACAAAUUAGCUGAAGGAACAAAUUGAAAGCUUGAUUCAUUAAAGGUCGACGCUAAAAGAGAAGGUCGAUUUUAGGGGAUGACUAUCUUUGAGUUAUGGUCUGACCUUGUGGUUAUCCGAUCUCGUACCUGUAUUUUAGAUUGAGUGCAUAAUCGAUUUAAAAGUUGUUAAGACGAUAAUUGUCUAGAGUGAUUUGAGGUUAGUGUUGGAGUUCGUUUGCCCAUGGUAAGACUUGUAUUUUAUUUCAAAAAUUUAUAUUUGAGCCUCUAUUUUAAACUUUUAAGGUGAAUUAGGCUAUCGGUUUACCCUAGACGAUUGUUCGAUUUAACCAAUCUGACCUGAGGUUCAUCUAGUAAGAUUAGUUUAAUAGUAUUAAAUGAGGAGAAAGGUGGUUUGAGCAAAAAAAAUUUAAAGUGGGAUAACGAAAAGUCAUCUUCUCACCUUUACUUUGACACGUGAUGCAGACCAUGUCAUUUAUCUGAUCUGUGGCACGUUUAUAUAAAGGGCUAUUAGGGCUUCAAUUUUUUACUUUUUUACUUCUUUUGCUCUCAAUCUGACCUAAAUUUUUUGAUCUCAAAAGCUUUUUAGCCUUUAAAGUUUUUUCUACACCCUUUUCAGUAUGUAUUUCUAACCAUGUCCUCUAUUAUGAGUUUUAGAGAGGUUGGAAGUUACAAAGUAGAGCCAAGGGGAGGUCAGCGCAAGUAGCAGGAUGACGAUCUGAACCUCUUCAAUUAUUAGGGGUUGUAAUUAUGCAAGGACAGCCUAUUGGUUUAAUUUAAUAUUCGAGGAAGGGUAGUGACACAAUGAGAAGAAUGUUCAUGUAAGAGAGGAGCGAGUUCUGAACACGGAGAGCUAUGUGCUUAAAUCGACUUUGAACUUUAAUAUCCACCUCCUUUCUUUAUCUCUCAGGUCGGUCCAUCUUCUAUGGUUGACCUUUUUUCCUUUUCGAUUGUUCUCUUUUUUGGGGUUCAAUCUCAUCCACCUAAUUCUUCUUUUACUUUUCCCCUUCAAUCAGUUUUUCUUGACAUCUUUUCCUCUCUUGAGGGGUCUUCACAUUUCUCUUUUUCCUCAGAGAUUGAAUACCUCGGAAUCCUUUUCCCACCUAAGAGUUAAAGUCUUCUAACAGGGGAGGUUCCAAAGAGAAACAAGAAAAAUAAAGCACCUAAGCUAGAAAAAGUGAUAACGAGGAAGAGAGCCAUGUGGUACAGGGUGAACUUGUCGAAUUCCCUAUAUAUACUCUAUGUGACCUCAGUAUGAUCUCCAAUGACGUGAUGAGUGAGCUAAAGGCAGAGUAAAUCUCGAAGACUAUCCUAACGUGUGUUUGACUCAUCAUGUUCAUGCUCUUGGUACCACUUUUCUUUUUUCAGAGAGGGGUAUAGUAUAAUAAUGUCAAACUUCUUAGACUAGGUCACUGAUGGAUUAGAGCUACAUCGACUCUAAGUGCAUUGGGAUUUUUUUGUGGUCGAUCUAAGGUUUCCACUUCAUCCUCUAUUCAUUUCAAUUUUUAAUUUAUACAAUUUGAUCAUUACUCAGGCUACCCUAAAUUCUAUUAAGUACAUAAUUGCUUUUAUUAUUCUUUGUCAAUAGUUAAAUAUUCUUCCUUCUCUCUUUUUAUUUAGGGAGUUCUUCUCUCUAAAAAAAUAUCUUAGUGACAGCAUGUGGUAUUAUAUCACAGCUUGGCUAAAUAAAAAACUUAUUGUUGAUUGCCCGAGCUUAAUAAAAAAUUGAAAGCUGCACUUUUUAUACCUUAUGAAGCAAAAGGCAAAUAAAGAUGGUGAGCUCAAGCUUGAGGCUUGGGAAAUAAGGAGCACACCCAACUUUUUUGUGGAUGUGCCAAUGGCCUUUCUAUCUUGGAUAUGUUUGAUCGAGAUAAAUUUUAGACUUUACUUGUAAGGGGAGCUCGUCAUUGAUGCCCACGAGCUGAACUCCCUGGAAGUAAUAAACAGGACUGUCAUAACGGAUUUUAGUUUAAGGGGACUCGAUCGCUAAACUUGGUGAAAAUUUUUAGAGUCGUCACCAAUAUUUUUUUGUAGGGUGUGAUUGGUCACCCAAAAAUAUUAUCUUUUAAUAAAAAUCUUAAACUUAAUUAAGAUUUACUAAUAUCAUAACGUAUAGAUCAGUGGACCUAUGGCUAGAUAUGGAUGAUAGGGAGUCACCACCAAUCUUUUUUGUUUAGGUGUGAUUGACCACUUGAAGCAGAUUUUGAUCCAUAAAAUCAGAGUUUAGAUUUGGGAGUACGGUUAUGCAUAGAGAAGGUUAUAGCACUCCCAUAGCGCCCAUCCAUAAGACGGUAUCAACUUGAUUUUAAAUUAUCCAAGCUUUAAUCAUAUUUGUGAUUUACCAGAUAAUUUAAUAUUAAAAAUAUAUCUUAAAAUUAUCCCAAUAGUUUGGUAGCAAUUUAAGAUAAUUCUCUCACCUCAGGAGUAUUCAUGAAGACUAGUGUUUCACUCUGAAGAGGCUCCAUCAUCAGAUUUAGUGAUGUACUUUUAUUCAAAAAAAUUAGUAAAGUCUCUCAAUAGUUUGGUAAGACUUACUUUGAAGUAGAUCUCUCAAUAGUUUGAUAAGAUUUUAUUGUAAAAAAAUUUAUAAAAAUUUUAAAAAUUUCAUUAAGUCUCCUAAUAGUUUGGCAAGACUUGAUUUAAAAAGCAAUCAUCCAAUCGUUUGAAGGAUGAAAACAUUUUUUGCUUUUGUUUUUGUUUUUAUUUUUAUUUUUUUUGAAAAUUGAUUUUAUGAAAUUUUUCAAUAGUUUGGUGGAUUCCAAAUUAAAUCCAUGAAAAUUCUCCAAUGGUUUGGUAGAAUUCAUGAAUUUAUUUUGUAAGGAUUUUUAUUUGAAAAAAGAUUUUUUAUUGUUAUUUAUUGAAAAGAUUUUUUUUGAUAAACUUAAAGGGAUCUUUUUUUUUGUUUUUAUUUUAUUUUGAAAACUUAUUUGAAAAAUUUUUUUUUCACUGAAAAUAUUUUUUUUAUUUUUAUACAAUCAUUUUUUUAAAUAAAAACAAUUUUUACAAAAUUUCUCAAAAAUAAAACCAGAAAAAUAAUAAAAACUAAAAAUAAAAUAAGUUGAAAAAUAUAAAAUAAAAUAAAAGCAAAAAAAUAAAGUAAAAUGAAAAAAGAAAACCUUGUGAUUUGGGUCAGGUCAGAAUGCGGGUUAGCGCACGAGUUGAUGGGUCAAGGCACGGGUCUUGCGCUACCAAAACAACACUAUUUGGGGUUAGUAUAUAAGCCAAGUUGCCCGCGUUUUCUUUAGAAGCUCAUUCCACUCUCUCUCUCUAACCUUUAAACAUUCUCUCUUUUCUCUAAAAUCCAACCGAAACCUCGUUGAAAAUUGGAGAUUCUUGCCAGUUUCUAGAAAAUCCCACCUGAAAGUUCAUACUUCACCAAAAAAUUCAUCGAAAAAUUCAUACUUCAUUGAAAAAUUCAUCAAAAAAUUCAUCCAAAACCCAGAAAAAACCUUGAAAACCCAAAAAUUUCAUAGAUUUUUUAGAUUCUUUCAAAAAUUCCCGAAAAACCUAAUCCUAAUCCCAAAAACUUGAAUUUAAACCCGUAAACAUCACACUAAAUUUUAACAAUCGAAAUCUAAAAUUCAAGAACUCAAAAGUCUCAGAAAUUGAAAUCUAACACCCAUAAUCUUUCCAAAACCAUCUUUCCCCUUCAGUGACCGUGUUCUAAAUUCUCUAAGAGCUGUUCACUUUAUAGUCAUGUCUAGGACAAAUUUUAGGAAACGAACAGAAUCAAUCUAAGCUUGAAUCCUAGAAUUUGAUUAUGCUAGAGCCUUAGUUUAGAGUUUUGAUUUAGUCCCAAUUGAAUUUGGUCAGUUAUUUAAGCUUGACUCAUCAUUGACUAUGAGAUUUUGACCUACCUAAUUCAAUUUCCAUUUCCAUAAUUCACGCCAAAAAUCAAAAAGGGAAAAAAAGAAAAAAAUGAAAAAAUGAAAAAUAGAAAUAAUGAUAAUAAUAAUAAUAAUAAUAAUAAUAAUAAUAAUAAUAAUAAUAAUAAUGUAAUACUAUACAUAUGAUAAUAACAAAAAUAAUGAAAUACAAUCUAAUUGUCCUCGAACAUGGUCCGAUUGACCUCAAACACAAUUAAGUGUCUACAGCUAUCCCUCUUUGCACGUUCCUGUCAAGCAGGGAUGGUGCAAAUACCUAGACACCCACUUUAUUCCAAUUUAAAAGUCAAAUCAAUGAGUAAAAAUGACAAAGACGAAAUCACGAGUCAAGAAUAAAAUGACCAAGAUCGAGUCGAGGUCAAAAAUAAAUAACCAAGAUGAAAUCAUGAGUCAAAAGAAAUAAUCUGGAUCGAGCCAAUAUCGAGUGACCGAGAUAAAAUCAUGAGUCAAAAUGAGGUGACCAAGAUCGAGUCGAGGUAAAAAAUAAAUGAUCAGGAUGAAACUUUGAGUCAUAAGAAAUGAUCUAGACUGAGUCAAGAUUGAGUGAUCGGGAUGAAAUCACUAGUUAAAAAUGAAACAAUAGGACCGAGUCGAGGUCAAAAUUAAAUGAUCGAGAUAAAACCAUGAGUCAUAAGAAAUGAUCUGGACUGAGCCAAUUUCGAGUGACCAAGAUGACACCAUGAGUCAAAAUGAAAUGACUAAAACCAAUUCGAGGUAAAAAAUAAAUGACCUGAAUGAAAUCACGAAUCAUAAGAAAUGAUUUGGAUUGAGCCAAGAUCGAGUGACCGAGAUGAAAUCAUGAGUCAUAAAAAAUGAUCUAGAUUAAGUCAAGAUCGAGUAACCAAGAUGAAACCACGAGUCAAAAUGAAGUGACCAAGAUCGAGUCGAGAUCAAAAAUAAAUGAUCAGGACAAAAUCAUGAUUCAUAAAAAAAUGAUCUGAACUGAGCCAAGAUCAAGUGAAUGAUGUAAAUGCAUACCUUAUCUAAGGUACAAACGUAAUGUAUGCAGUUCUGAUGUUAUAAAAUUUUAAUUGCAGUGACAAGGUUCUUAAGAUUCCACCAAUCUUUCUUAACUUCUUGGUAUUAAAGUGUAAAUUUUAUCAUCUUAUCCAUGUCAUUCUUCUCAUCUGAUCAUAACUCAUAAGUCAUGUCAACCAAUCUAUCACUGAAUUCACCAUCGAGUCAUCUUGUUUGCCCUUUUGUAAAUCAUUUUCUCAUGCUUCUUUUUAUUUAUCUCAUCUUGGAUUUCUUUCAAAAAAAUAAAAAACUUUUAUGAAAAAUGUCAUUCAUUUAUUUGCUAUCAUUCAAAUUAGUGACAGACAUGGUACAUUUUUUUGGUUCAUUCAGGAAAUGUUCAUUUGGUGAAGGGUAGGAAGAAUGGAUCUUUAUUAUAGAAAGUAGGGUCAGGAACAAUUUAAAUAGGACAUUAACAUCCAAAAUAAUGAUUGCUCAAAUAAUUUUAAACUCAAAUUCAGGAUCAUCAUUCGAAACACAUUUCAUUAAUAUCUUCAAUAUUUGAGCUAAACAUCAUCUUCAUUUUGGGGACUUUCACAUGAAAUUAUUUUUUCCAAACUUAAACUACCCUUUCAAGUUUUUAGUAUAAGUCUUCCUUUUUCCUUCUUUUUCUCUUUUCCAUUUUUUUCUUCUUUUUUUUGUUUUUUCCUUUUUUCUUUUUCUUUUUCCUUUUUGCUUCUUGAUUUUUUUUUUUGCUUUUUGCUUUUUUUUUCUUUUUUUUUUUUUUACACUUUUUUCUCAUUUCUUUUUCUCUUUCUCCUUUGUUGACAUUUUGAUCAAAGUUUCACAUAAUCUAAUGGCAAACCUGCCCUAAUUCAAUUUAUGAUUCUUCAAAUCAAGUAUUCAUAUUUGAUCAAAAUAAACUUUUAAGGGACGUAAUGUAGGCUAAAGUAAAGGGUGCCAAAGAAAGGGAUAAAAUAGGCCCAAAUUGUAUUUGAAGGGUAAUUAAAUCAAGUAUCAUUUCUUUAUGCAGAGCACUUUGACAUUUUGCCCAAUAUAUUUUCCUUUUUUUUCUUUUUUUUUUAUUUUCUCUUUAUUUUUGUUUUUUUUUAGUGGAGCAUAUUGGCAUUUUGCCUUAUCAAUUUCUUUUUUUCUUUUUUUUUUAGCGGAGCACAUUGGUAUUUUACCCCAUCAAUUUUUUUUUCAUUUAUAAAAAAAACUUGAAUAAAUUUCUCAAACUUUGCCUUUAGUGUGGGAGUGAUCCUUGGUUAGGGUUCCUCAAAAAAAAAAAAAAAAAACUCAAAAAACUCAAACGGAAUAGCAAUGGAUGAUUUUUUUUUUCUUUUUUUUUUGGAAAAUAGAAGAAAGAUGAUCAUUUUUCAUUUUAAAGAUGAAUACUCUCAACGAAGAACAUCAUUGACUAAGAGCAGAUUUGUGAACAAUUGUACGGAUCAUGUAUUGCAUCAUUUUUAAAAUUCUUCUUCAGAUUUAUCUUUUUAUUUAGUAGCACUAACAAUUUCAAAUUUAUCAAUCAAAAUAUGAUGAAUGGUGUUUUCAAAGUCAAAUCCUGAAUUAUCAUCACGAUUGUCUAAACAUUCAUUAUUUGAAAAAAUGGCUAGAAAAAAAAAGGUGUGAGAUGGUAAGAGUAAAUGAUGGAUAUUCACACAAAAAAAAUGUCAUAAAAAUGCAUCAAACAUGUCACUUUAUUAAAAUGAUGAAAAAUAAGAUGAAAUUAAAAAUAAGAUGAAAUCUAAGUACAUAAAAGAAUAUUCACAUUCUCAAAAGAUCAAAGAUGAUGAGUAGUUCCAAUCAACCUCUCCAAAAUUAUGCCUCUAGAUGAUUGGAUGAUAGGUUAUUGUUGACAUUGGAUGCUGUGUUUCCAUUGGUAUCAAAAUUUAUCAAUCCUUAUUUAAUCAGACUUUGCACUAUACGUUUCAAAAGGAUGCAAUUUUCAAUGGAAUGUCCUACCACCCCAAAAUGAUAGUCACAGUGAGUAAUGGAGUCAUACCAAUUGGGAUAGGGAGAUUCAAGUUAUUUUGUAGGAUUGGGGGCAAUCAAAUAGUUCUUGUAAAGCUCUUAAUAUAGUUUGGUAUAGCUUAUAGGGAUAAGAUCAAAUGUAAGCUUUUCCCUAUUUUGUGAUUCUUGUGCACCAUUCGUUAGGGUCGUAGGAUGAAUGAAAGACCUAAGAAGAGAUGAUAAGAGGGUCUUAGAGUUGACUUGUGAAGUAUAGUAAAAACAUAACUUACAAAAAAAUGAUAUGUAGGAUAGAUUGGCUGAGGGUAGUUUCUGGAUUACUAACUGUCGAAACUCAUAACUUGAGUCUUACUUUCUUUUUUCUUUGGUAUCUUUUUAGUAGAAAACUCUCCUUCUUCCACUUUACCGUUCUUGAUUGCAUUUUAAAUGAUCUUUCCUGAAAUCACCAUGUUGGCAAAAUUCUUGGUCGUAUUUUCUAUCAUCUUCUCAUAGUAGGAUGACUUUAGAAUGCUUAUAAAUAGCACUAUUGUUUCUUUCUCUGUUAGGGGGGUUUGACUUAAGUGGCAAUAUCUCACCACCUUUGAGCAUAUUUUUUGAAAGACUUAGAUGCUUUUGUCUCCAUACAUUGUAAUAAAAGGCGAUUAGAAGUCAUGUCUAUGAUGUGGCAAUAUUGGUUAAUAAAGGAUCGAGUCAAAUCCUUUCAUGACUUAAUGUGAGUCUUAUCCAAUUGGAUAUACCAUUUUGUAACAGAUCCAGUUAAGUUAUCCUAUAAUACAUGCAUUAGCAGUUUCUCAUUGCUGGUAUAUGUUGCCAUCUUAUGAUAAUAUAUUAUGAUAUGUAUAAUGAGGCACUCGGUACCGUCAUACUUAUCAAAUUCUGGUACCUUAAAUUUUGAAAGAAUCACAACAUCUAAAACUAGGUAAAGGUUGGCAGCAUCCAUGGAUCUAUAGAAAUCAAUGCCCUCUACAGCUCGUUAUCUUUCUUCAAUCAUACUUAUGGCUUGAUCGAUUUUAGAGUCUUCUAGGGGUACAACCAUAUGUAAUUUUUUUUCUCUUUAGUCUUAUCUAUUUUGGGAAUUUGGACUGGCUCAUCUACCUUUUCAGUGAAUAUAGGAUUGGUAUAGCUCUUAACAUUUCCUUGAUUGAAAUUUGGAAACAUGGCCUAUUAUUAAUGAAAUUUGAAGUGGUUUGAGUCUGAUGUGGAUCGAAACCUAGAGGAUAUUAUGACUCAGUAUUUUUAUGUGAGAUAUCUUCUUCUAUUACCUUUCUUCUAUUUUUUUUUCUAGAGCUUCCAAGAUUUUGCUCAAUUUUUCUUCAAGUAUCUCUUGGGCCUUUUCUAUUCUUUCAAGCCGAUCUACAUUGUCUUGCUUCAAUUUUCUGGCUCUAGCUCGAGUGUAGUACUGGUGUUAAGCUAUCCUUGAAACUUGAUUUCCCACAAUUAUAAUACAAAUUUAGAAUGAUGUUUAUGGAUCUAUCAGAUUAUGUAUGAGAAUAAAUGCAAUGAUACAUGAAUAUAUACAUAAUAAAAAAAGACUAGUAAGCAUAACAUGUAAUCUGCAUGUAUGUUUAUGAAUAUGCAUAAAAAGAAAAGAAAUAAAAGAAGACAAGAAAAUCAAUUAGUCACCUUAAAAUAAAGAAUAAACACUACAAAGCAAGUAAAAUAACAACAUGGCCUUAGAUUUAGGUUAACUAUAAAAGGUGAAAUGACAUGGCUCUAUCUACGGUUAGGCUCUUAAAGUUAACUAUAUGUGGUUUGGACAGCCUUUAAGAGGUUUUUAAAUUGUUCUUUACAUCGUGGUCCAUCAUAGACUAGUAAGGCACCCCGAUUCUUUCCUAUCAUAAGCUACAAGCAAAAAACAUCUAAUUUGAGUGAGAGUAUUUCAUAGGCCCAUGCGAAGAUGUAAAAUAUCACAAAAGCAUGGGUACUUCACUCCCUCCUAAGGGUAGAGCUCGGGUAGAGAGCUUAUAUUAUACACAUGCAAAUGAAUGACAGGUAUAUAUACAAUAAAUAAAUAGUUAAGUAGAUAUAAGUAAUAAAAAAAGCAAAUGAGUAAUUAAGCAAGUAUAAACAGUGAAAAGGAAAAAAUGAAUAAUAAAGCAAGUAUAAGCAAUGAAAAGAAAUAAAAUAAUUUUAGAUUUAUUAAGCACGACUUGGAUAAUAAGAAAUCAUUUACCGACUUGACUAUCGAGUUUUCCAGUGAAAUUGUCAAACUGUCAUAACGUAUAGAUUUGUAGACCUACGGCUAGACAUAAAUGAAAGGGAGUCACCACCAAUCUUUUUUGUUUAGUGUGAUUGGCCACCUGAAGUAGAUUCUGAUAGGUUCGGGAGUACAGUUACACAUGAAAAAGAUUAUAGUAUCCCCAUAGCACCCAUCCAUAGGAUGGUAUCGAUUUAAUUUCAGAUUAUCCAAGCCUUAAUCAUAUUUAUGAUUUACCAGAUAAUUUAAUAUUGAAAAUAUAUCUUAAAAUUAUCCUAAUAGUUUGGUAGCAAUUUAAAAUAAUUCUCUCACCUCAAGAGUAUUCAUGGAGACUAGUGUCCUACUAUGAAAAGGCUCCGUCGUCGAAUUUAUUGAUGUACUUUUAUUUUAAAAAAUUAGUAAAGUCUCCUAAUAGUUUGGUGGAACUUACUUUGAGGCAUAUCUCUCAAUAGUUUGGUGAGAUUUUAUUAUAAAAAGAUUCAUAAAAAUUUUGAAAAUUUCAUUAAGUAUCCCAAUAGUCUAGUAAGACUUAAUCUAGAAAGCAAUCCUCCGAUCAUUUGAAGGAUGAAAAUAUUUUUUGUUUUUGUUUUUAUUUUUUUAAUUGAUUUUAUGAAAUUUCUCAAUAGUUUGGUGGAUUCCAAAUUAAAUUCAUAAAAAUUCUUCAAUAGUUUAGUAGAAUUCAUAAAUUUAUUUUGUAAGGAUUUUUAUUUGAAAAAAAAGAUUUGUUAUUGUUAUUUAUUGAAAUGAUUUUUUUUUUUAUAAACUUAAAAAGAUCUCUUUUUUUGCUUUUAUUUUAUUUUGAAAACUUAUUUGAAAAGAUUUUUUUGGUUUGUUUUUUUCACUGAAAAGAUUUUUUUUAUUUUUAUACAAUUGUUUUUUUUAAACAGAAAUAAUUUUUAUGAAAUUUCUCAAAAAUAAAACUAAAAAGAAAAUAAAAACUAAAAAUAAAAUAAGCUGAAAAAUAUAAAAUAAAAUAAAAUGAAAAAAGGAAACCUUGCGAUUCAGAUCGGGUCAAAGCACGGGUCAGCGUCGUGGGUUGAUGGGCCAAGGUGCGAGUCUUGUGCUACUAAAACGGCACUAUUUUGGGUCAGUGUAAAAGCCAAGUUGCUUGCGUUUUCUUCAGAAGCUCAGUCCCUUUUCUUUCUCUAACCCUUAAACACUUUUUCUUCUCUCUAAAAUCCAACUGAGACCCUAUCAAAAACUGGAGAUUCUUGUUAGUUUUUGGAAAAUCCCACCAAAAAGUUCAUAUUUCGUCAAAAAAUUCAUCAAAAAAUUCAUAUUUCGUCGAAAAAUUCAUCCAAAACCUAGACAAAUCCUCAAAAACCUAAAAAUUUCCAAAAUUUUUCGUAUUCUUUUAAAAAGUCCCUAGAAACCUAAUUCUAAUCCUAAAAACCUGAAUUUAAACUCGUAAACCUCACACCAAAUUUUAACAAUCGAAAUCCAAAAUUUCAAAACCUAAAAAUCUCAAAAACCGAAACCUAACACCCAGAAUCUUUCCAAAACCUUCCUUCCUCUCCAGUGACGGUGUCCUAAAUUUUCUAAGAGCUGUUCACUUUAUAGUCACCUUUAAGACAAAUUUUAAGAAACGGAUAGAAUCAAUCCAAGCUUGAAUCCUGGAAUUUGAUUCCACCAUAGCCUUAAUUUAGAGUUCUAAUUUAGUCUCAAUUGAAUUUGGUCAAUUAUUUAGGCUUUAUUCAUCAUUGACUAUGAGAUUUUGACCUGCUUGAUUUAAUUUCUAUUUCCAUAAUUACCACCAAAAAUAUAAAAAAAUGAAGGAAAAAAAUGAAAAAAUAAAAAUAGAAAUGAUGAUGAUGAUGAUGAUAAUAAUAAUAAAAAUAAUAAUAAUGUAAUACUAUUCAAUAUGAUAAUAAUAAAAAUAAUAAAAAUAUGGUCCAAUUAUCAUUGGACAUGGUUCGAUCGACCCCAAAUGCAAAUGAGUGUUUACAGCUAAAAGAAGUUUAGGUCUGCAAAUUAGGGUUGGGUCUGAGAGUACAGUUACGAGUGAUACAGGUAUUAGCACCAUCACGUCGCUCGUUCAAGGAACAGUACCAAUUAAACAUAUGUAAUCUUUUAAUUUUGAUGAUGUGAUCUUUUUUUUUAUAUAUAUUUAAAUUUAAUUUCCUGAAAUUUGUUUAUAAAAAACAUCUUUUGUUGUGAAAUUAGUAUUAUUAUUAUUUCGUAUUCUAUAAAUUCUUCAACGUUUUGACGAAAUUUAUAAAAAAUCUUUAUUUAAAAAAUAUUUCAAAAAAAUUGACCAUUCACAAAAUUCUCGAAAUUUCAUUAUAAAAUCUUUUAUUUAUUUAUAAAAAAAGAUUUUAGGAACAUUUAGACUAUUUGGUGAGUUUCUAAAAUUUAUUAAACAGAAUUUAAGAUUAUCUUGACUCUUUGAAGAAAUCCUAAAAAUUUUGAACAAGUUUUAAGAUCUUCUCAAUUUUCUGACGAGAUCUUAAAUAAAUUAUUUUUUUUGUUGAUGAUAAUUAAUAGAUUUAAUUAAUUAAUUUUUAUUGUGAUUAUUUUUUUGUAAUUAUUUACUGUUUAUUAUUAUUAUUAUUUAUUAUUAAAAAAAUUAUAUUAUCUCUACUCACUUAUGAAAUCUAAAAAUAUUAAUAUUUUAUUUAUAUUAAAGAAAAUCAAACUGUUUUAAUUUUCUUUAAAAAUUACAAUUUUUUAGAAUAUUUAUUCAAAUAAUCCAUUAUCAUUAUUAUUAUUUUUUAUAUUGUUUACAUAAACCUUUAUUCUAAUAAAAAUAAUUUUGGAUUAUUCCAACUCUAUAGUAAAAUGUAAAAAAUUAUUUUUAUUUGCAAUAAUUAAAGAAAACCAAACUUUUUUCAGUUUUCUCUAAAACUUACAUUUAAAAUACUCAUUUAAACAAUUUAUCACUUUCUUUUUAUUUUAUUUAUCUUUUUUAUUUUAUUUUAUUUUUAAAUUUUAAAUUUUUUAUUUUUAGCAAAAUUUAUUUUUUAAAAUUAUUCCAACAUUUUGGUGAAAUUUAAAUAACAUUUUUGCUUUCAAUAAAGUUUUAUUUUCCUUAGAUAGCUAUUAUUAAUAUUAAUUUUUUUAAAGAUUUAUGCAUAUUAUAUUUUUUUAGGUCCAUAUUUUUUUAAUUAUUUUAUUUAUUUAUUUAUUUAUUUGUGAAAGAAUUAUUAUUAGUAAUAACAUAAAAUAAUAAUAAUAAUAAUAAUAAUAACAAUAAUAUCAUAAAAAAUAAAAGCAAAUAACCAAAAAAAAUAAAUUAUAUAAAAUAACAUAAAAUCAAACACAAAUAAAUAAAAUAAAAAUCAAAACAAAAAAUAAAAAAAGGGAAAACCUACUAAACGGGUCGGGUUGGCGCUCGGAUCCUACACGGGUUAGGCGCAGGUCAAAUGCCCAAAACGACAUCGUUUUGUGACGCCUAUAAAUAGGCCUUUUUUUGUUUUUAAUUUUUCCUUUCUUCCCUCUUUCUCUAAAAUAAGAGCUGCUUUCUCUAAAAAAGUCAUAUUCCUUUCCAACCAUCAUGGAUCCCGUUUUUCAAUCGGUUGCUGUUGUGAGUUGAUGGUUGAAAACUUCAAUUGAUGUUGAAAAGCUUAAAAUUUUUCAAAUUCUGACAUGUACCCAGAUUUUGGUCACCGAAUAGUUGAACAAUUAUUAGAAAAUUCAAAUUUUUUUAGUUUCUAGUGACCUAAAAAAUUUUCAAAUUUUCUUUUUAAAAUUCAUAAAAUGAUCUUUUGAUUUUUUUUAAACAUCUUUUCUAAAAUAGUUUUUACCAAAAAAAUUUUAAAAAGGCCCAGAUCGAAAAUUUUUGUUUUAAAAUUUUUUUUUUACUUUGCUGUUGGUUCCUUUCUCUUGGAGGAUUGUGUUAUUUUUUUUUCUUUCGUGUGUUUUUUUUAAUCCUCCACCUUUUUUUUAAACAUUAUUCUCAUCGGUUAUCCUUCUAUUUUUUUUCUUUUCUAUCUUUUUUUUUUUGUUUCCUUCAUCUUUGUUUUUUUUUUUUUCGCAAAAUCUUGGCUCUAUUUAUAAAGCUAAUUAGGAGAUCAAAAUUCCAAAAAAUCUGAGAUUUUAUGGACUUUCUAAGGUUUGUGAAAAAAAUUAUCUAGUGACCUUUAUGCUACAAGAUUAGGUUUUGGUGAAGAAGAAAAAUGAACAACUUUGGUAGUUUGAUUUCAACUGCCAAAGUUGAAACCAAUUUUUUUGACUUUUUUCUUUUUUUUUGUUAAUUUUUUGGGUAAAAUAGGUGUCCACAGUUGCCCCUCUUUGCAUAUUACUGAAAAUAAAAAAUAUGGCAAAAACAAAAAGACAGCAAUUUUAUUCGGGCAAACACAUAAAAGACGAAACAUUGAAUACAAAGUUUUUUUUUUAAAAAAAAAUUUUUGAAAGGCUCCUCUAAACAGAGGCUUGGUAAUUUUUUAAAAUUUAAAAAAACUCAUCUGACUAGAGGCUAUGAAACUUUAAAUUCAAAAAACUCAUCUAACCAGAGGCAAUGAAACUUUAAAUUGCUCCUUGGACCAGAGGUAAUGAAACUUUGAAUGAGAAAAAAAGGUUGAGAGGCAAUGAUAUUCGAAAGAUUCCUCUAAAUAGAGGGUUCACAUCUUUUCUACUUUUAAUUUUUCCUUUUGUUGGUCUUAGAUUGUCCUAGACUCAUAUAUCUGUUACGUCACAUGCAUGCAUGAAUGACAUUUUCAUAUUUUUGCAAUGUUAUGUAAUGAAUGAUGAUCAUGAUGCAAAUGCAUUUAUGAUGCAAAUGAAGAGACCAUCUUUUUUCUCUUUUUUUUUCAUUUUCUUUUAAUCCUUAAAAUUUCUCAAUGUUUAUUUCCUUUCUUUUUUCUUUUGAAUCCCAUGCAUUCCAACAGUUGAUUAAGAUUUCUCUCUACAUUUUUCAUAUUCAAUGUCUGCCACUUUUAUGACUUAUAGGUCUCAUUUUUCAUUAACCUUUGUUCUUUACUAUCUUGCUUAUCAUUUUAAAUCUCCUUUAAAAUAAUGUAUGUAUCUUUCAUGAUCGUUGUCACUCACUUAUCAUCUUUCGAAUUUUAUGACAAUACAUUGCACAUAUUCCUUUUAAUGAGAAAGACAAAGGAAGGAUAUUUUAUUUUAGUAAGAGGAACAAGUGUUUUUUACAUAAUUCAAAGUGAUAUAACAAGGAAAAUAGAUAAUCAAAUAAGGAACAUUCAAAUCAUCUUGAAUUAAUUCAUCUUAGAUUUUUUUUUAAACUCUUGAUUGAUACCUUUUAAUUUUUUCAAAAAAUGUAGCAGACCAAGCUAACCCAAAACCAAUAAGAGUUUUUGGCACAUAUUGAGAAUUGGCCCACUCCAUUUAAUGUUUUCUUAUCUAAGUCACCAUUUUAGGUUUUCAACUAAGAUAUCUUUUCGGAUCAUUUUUCCUUUUACCUUUUUUUUAAAACAUAGUACUUAUUUACUGCAUCAGCAUUAACUGGAUUUGGUAAAUCAUCCACAUCCAUUCUUGCUAAGAUCAGUGCCUCACCAGAGAAGGGAUAUUUUUUGGUCGAAUAACUCCUUGUGUUCUGUCUUAGUGGCUUAGGUCAUCUGAGAGCGGGAUUUUUUUUCAAUUUGCAUUUAAAUCCUCUCACAUAAGGUAUUUAAUGUAGUGUAACUUCUUUCCCCACUGGGGCUUCGAGCCCUAUGUCAUUUCUUUAUUGGGGGAGGAUCGUAAAAAUCUUUGCUUUUCUUAUGACCAAAGAGAAAGAAUGAACCUCUUUCACCUUGGUCAUCGAGGAAGGGGGAUGGGCUUCUUUUAUCUCAGUUAGUUUUCAUUGUAAUUUCAGCAUUAAUGUAUUUCUCUACUAUCAAUAAAACGUUGGCCAGAGUUUUAGGUGAUUCUAGUGACAAUGUCAGUUUUAGAUGGUACUUUUUAUCGUUAAGUCCACUUGUCAGAGCUGUGACAGUGGCCAUCUGUUCCAGGUCUUUAACCUGUAAAGCUUCCACAUUAAAAUGCAUGACAUAACUUUUCAAAGUUUCAUUCUGUUCUUGGUGGAUUGACAUCAAGCUUAGAGUCGUCUUUUUUGCUCUUCAGCUAUUCAUAAAUCUAGACAAAAAUGAGUGACUGAGCUUCUUGAAUGUAGUGAUUGCCCUCGGCUCCAGGCUGUUGUACUAGGACUGAGCUACGUCCUUUAACGUAGUGGCUAAACCUUUACACAUUAGAGACUUAUCUACCCUCUACAUCAUCAUAUUAGUUCUAUAGAGUUCUAAAUGAUCGAAAGGGUUGAAGUACCAUCGUAUGUUUUUAAGAUUGGUAUUUUAAAUCUUUUGGGAGGCAUGGCUCUAUCAAUUUCUUCAAUAAAAAGCAAGGUUUGCGAGAACUUGAGCUCAUCUUCGAAUGCCAUUGUUUUCGUUUUCAAUUCUUUUUUCAUGGCUUGCAUCCGAGCUUUCAAAUCUUUGUUCGAUUGAAAUCCAUGGUUUAUUUGUUUAGAUUUUGGGUCGUGGCAUGUGUUGAAUUAUGGCUGGGGUAAUGGUGAGUCGGGUUUGUGUAUUAUUCUUCUAUGGAAGCCAAGGAAGCCUCCGCCUCUUCGUAGCUCGAUUGUCCGAUAGAGACUUUUCGACCAAGUGUAAUUAAGUCUGGCACUUUCAAAACUUAUGAUGGGGUUAUAAUUUGCAGCAUCUACUUGAAAACCAGUAUUUGUGCUGUUAGAGCUUAAAAUUGUUCCAUGGUCGGGCUCGCUUGUUGUUAGGUCGGGCAGACAAAAUGCUGGUUAAGGUAAGUUUCUGUUCCAGCCAAGGCGAUUGCCUCUCCUUCAUUUAGGAUUCUCUUUCUUGGUGGCAUUGUUUUAUGCUCGACCAAUAUAAAUGAGUUCUCCUACUUGGCAUGCCAAAUGUUGGUGCCGAGCUCCGACUUGGGGUAUUCCUAAAAAUGCAAAAGAGAAGGACGGUUAAAGGCAAAGGCAUGAUUUAUUGCUUGCAUUUGCACUUCGAUACGCAAAUUGGUAAGGAUCAGGUCAAUAAGGAAGUAAGAAGGAGAGAAAGAAGUGAAUGGAAUGAACCUGUCUUAACGGUGCCUGGAUCUUCAUAUAUAUAGGUAAGCUGUGGGAGACCCUGAGGGGACAAUAAAGAUAGCAUUGAACUGAGGUGGUACUGAUUAUGUCAAACUGACCUGACAUGUCAGGUCAGUACAAAUGACAAAGAUACUUUUGAUUGUCUGCUGAAGACUUUAGAGGAAAAAAACCAUUAUACCCUUUUGACCAUCAAAUGCCCCUAACAGAAUUCCAACUAAUGACUGAAGAUUCUUCCGAUUCAAGUCAAUUUGCUACACAGAAUCCCCAUAAUCGGAGGUGCCUAUUUAUGCCAACAGCCGAAAAUUGUCAAUUGUCAGUAUCCUCAAGGCCAUGACUGGCACAACACUUUUGAGUUAUGAAAGCUAUGGUGACAAGUCUGCUCAAGUUUGCACCUCCAACCCAACGGUUAUAGGACAAGCAUGUGUGUCAGUACCCAUAUUGAUCAUUCAAUGUAGUUCUCCCAUCACCAGAUUGCCCUGCAAGGAACAUGAAAAAACUGUAAUAAAAUCAGUGAUAAUCCAAUGAAUGGAAUCAAGUUGAAAUCCAUUCAGCAGUACGCAUUACAGAUGCUACAGUUAUACCGAAAUUUCAGGUUCAGUUGACACUAAGCAAUAAUUAAAGGAGUACCUUCAGGAGGAACCCAUGAUUCAUAUUCUGGAUCAAGAUUGCUAUUAAGAAAUGAAGGCUUCUCAGGACCAAGCACUCGUUUUUUCUUUUUAUCUUUCUUCUUAGAUUGAUUUCUGGCCAAUAUUUCAGGGGUUCAUACAAUUCCUCAUGCUUUUCAUGGUACCCUCUAGUGUGCUUCAGUAACAGUGCCACAGCAUUCUGUGCGAUUUCUUCAGCUCCUGUAGAGGAUAAUGUAGAUUGGUCAGAGGAUUUGUCAUCACUUUUCUGUUUCCUUAUAAUAAGACCCGAGGCAGUAGUUUCAAUUCCUGAGUGCCUUUUAACCUGUUGAUCAUCAACACUCCCAAGAACUUUCUUCCUAUCUUUGUAAUCAAAAAAUUCGUCAACUUUAUGUGUAUCUAUUAAGAAAUGAAGGCUUCUCAGGACCAAGCACUCGUUUUUUCUUUUUAUCUUUCGUCUUAGAUUGAUUUCUGGCCAAAUGCUUUUCAUGGUACCCUCUAGUGUGCUUCAGUAACAGUGCCACAGCAUUCUGUGCGAUUUCUUCAGCUCCUGUAGAGGAUAAUGUAGAUUGGUCAGAGGAUUUAUCAUCACUUUUCUGUUUCCUUAUAAUAAGACCCGAGGCAGUAGUUUCAAUUCCUGAGUGCCUUUUAACCUGUUGAUCAUCAACACUCCCAAGAACUUUCUUCCUAUCUUUGUAAUCAAAAAAUUCGUCAACUUUAUGUGUAUCUAUUAAGAAAUGAAGGCUUCUCAGGACCAAGCACUCGUUUUUUCUUUUUAUCUUUCUUCUUAGAUUGAUUUCUGGCCAAUAUUUCAGGGGUUUCAUACAAUUCCUCAUGCUUUUCAUGGUACCCUCUUAUGUGCUUCAGUAACAGUGCCACAGCAUUCUGUGCGAUAUCUUCAGCUCCUGUAGAGGAUAAUGUAGAUUGGUCAGAGGAUUUGUCAUCACUUUCAGGGUUCUGAACCUGUUUCUGUUUCCUUAUAAUAAGACCCGAGGCAGUAGUUUCAAUUCCUGAGUGCCUUUUAACCUGUUGAUCAUCAACACUCCCAAGAACUUUCUUCCUAUCUUUGUAGUAAAAAAAUUCGUCAACUUUAUGUGUAUCUACUUCUACUACUUGCUGUGACUCUUUAAUCUUCCUGUUCUCAACAGCACCAAGCCACUGGGCCUUUGCAACAGCAUAGAUAGCCUUUUUACCCUCAGCUGUAUCACUAAUAAUAUUCUCUUCUGGUUUCUUGAUUGAUUUCAUAAAGACAUCCGCAACUCCCUCUUUCUGCGUGGAAGAAUUUGCUGGUUCUGUAGAUGUACUGAUUUUUUUGGGUUCCUUUGGAGGCUGCUUCUUUACAGCAGCAGCAGGAGGUCUCGAUUUGUGAGGUCCUGGUGCUGGUGCUUGUGCCUUUGUAUCCCUUUUCUUAGCAGCUUCUCCUGUUGGAUCAGCAAUCUUCAACAGGUAGAAGAUCCGGUCCAACUCCGACUGAAGGGCAGACGGUUCCUUCUCAAGUUGCACUGUCCGAUCAGGCACUGACAAAGAAAGAUAGGAAAUCAGCCACUUUUGCUACUUGCAUUUCAGUAUUUACUUUUUGCUUUUUUAGAUGGUGAGAAAGUAAACACAAUAGAAAAAUAGAUGACCAUAUUUAAAAAUGAGAAAAUAGCUUAAAUGUAACAAAUAUCCACACACAGUGGCUGUAUAGCAUAGAGAAGUAAAUAUUGAAAUUCUUCAUUUUUAUCAUGCCUAAAACUCAAAUGCUUAUUUAUUAAUUAUUGAAAAAUAUUUUUGCAUUUGUGAGCUAAGGCUACUUUUUGUGUUUUGCGUUCAAAGGAAAAAGUAAGUAGCAAAAGGUUGCAACUAAAAGAACCUAAGAAAAAGAAAAGAAAGAAAUAUAGGAAUACAUAUAAAAGCUAAUGUUAACAAACUGGGAAGAAACUUGAAGAAAAACCAGAAUACCAUAAUAUAGUAAAACAAGUAGUCUAUGAUUUGGAAAUCAACAAUGAGUUAACUGUUUGCGACAUAAGCACUCUACAUCUUUUAUUUGCAGAACUUUUGGGAAUAUAUUUUUUUUAUCUAAAAAUGUCUUACCUAUCCGGGACGAAAGCCCAGACAUGUAAGCAUUAAGUGCAUCUCCAGCUUCACUUUCUACUGCAGUUUCUGAUGCCAUUUUAUCUUCUCACUCAACAGCAACUCUUUCUGGCCUUCAAUUUCUUUCAUAAUGGCAUCUCUCUUAUCAAGAGGACUAUCAGCAGCUUCAAUAGACUGGAUUUCACCAAUUAGGCUUCUUCUUUGUCCGGUCAUAGAAUUCAUCAUCAUCACUGAAGAUUCACAAAUCAUUAUGCGCAUUAACUAUUAAUCUAGUUUCAUAAGACAACUAAAAAUAAACCAGAUGCAUAUCCAUACCAUAUACUUAUAAAAUAGAAUGAUGAGAGAGUGAUCAGAAAUAAAAUGUGAAAGAAAAGCAUAAAGGAAAAUUUGCAAGAUUCCAAGUUGAAAGCAUUUCCUAUUCUUUUGUUUUUUUUCUAAAUUACCAAGAUUUAAAAGUGAUGACAAACUGAAUCUAAGGGUGACUUACCAAAGCUUUGGAACCGAAUUGCCUGGACUUUAAAUAAGAUCAGAAAGCAAUAUAUGUUUGAGAACUUGCACUUCCUCAAAAGGAACGAAAGUAUUUCAGUCUUUCAGGCUCGGGUUCUUCCUCCUCAUCAGAGCUAAAUCUACUUUUGUGCCUAGUUCUCAUUGUAGUCGUAGGGUCAUCAAGGCCUUCCUCAUCAUUAGCAUUUUUUUCCAUCAUUGAUCCUUCGAAAUCUCUUUCUUUGACAUCACAUUUCAAGGAGAGCCAAUUUGGAUCAAUUGCAAAGCUAAAACUACUUUUGUCCUAGUUCUCGUUGUAGUCGCAGGGUCAUCAAGGCCUUCCUCAUCAUUACAUUCUUUCCAUCCUUGAUCCUUCGAAAUCUCUUUUUUUGACAUCACAUUUCAAGGAGAGCCAAUUUGGAUCCAUUGCAGAUUUAGGUUCCAUCAUGGCAGCACCACAUCUGUUCUCUUCGUCUUUAGUGAAUGAUAAAGUAGCAUGACAACUUGAUUCCAAAAUCUCAAUGGUUGGAUCCACUGCCUCUUCACCCUCAGAACUGUAAUUUGUGCUGGAUUCAUCAGCACUGUAAGGAUCCAUCAUGGAAGCACCACAUCUGUUCUCUUCAUCUUUGGUGAAUAAUUAUGUAGCAUGACAACUUGAUUCCAAUAUCUCAUCCACUGCCUCUUCACCAUCAGAACUGUAAUAUGUGCUGGAUUCAUCAACACUGUAAUUUGUGUUGGAUUCAUCAGAACCAUAAUUUGUGCUGGAUUCAUCAGCACUGUAACUUGUGCUGGAUUCAACCUCAUCGUCAUUUGAUCUAACAGUAUCCAUAUAUAAUACAUUAACACCACAUUUCUGCACUUUGAAAUGCUUAAUAUUGGAAACCAAAUCCGUAGCUUCAACGUAGAUUUCAAUGGAGGCCACCUCAAAAUGCUUGUUUAUGGAUGUUUUAUUGAUUCCACGUCCGAAACCAUCAAAUAAAAAGGAUCACAUGAUUGGAAUCAAAGCUUAUGUCUCGAUGCAAAGGGUUUAUUGAAUUCCAGCGAUAAGCAAAAUCGUGAUGAUCACCACACUUGGUUUUUAAUUGAUAUUUGCAAUUGACACUGAUAUCGAAGAAUUCAAGAAGGUGCUCAAAAUCAACCACAAAGCAUAGAAUAAAGCCCAAGAAUCUUUUAUUAGAACAAUCUGGAACCAACUUGACAGUUAUUGAAGAAUUUGUACUCCGAUUCUUGAAUGUCUCUGAAAUUUCACUUCCAGGUAAACAAGAAAAGAAACUUUUAUCAUAAAAAUGAUCAGUACCUUCAGAAGAUUCCAUCGCAAAUACCUGUGCCAUAUAUUGAGCUUUAAGCUGUGCAUUAGCCGUAAUGUUGUUGAUUGCAUCCCGGUCCAGAUUGAAGCAAUUAUUGAAUACAAAGCAAUGGCCAUGCAUAUAAUAAUACUCGAACAAAGAUCUCUUAGCUUUCAUAUAUCGCAAAUGUUCCAACUUGGAAACUGUCUCUAAAGAUGCACAGUUUCCUGCAUCUAAAACUUCUAAAUGUGGUGGAAGGUCUGGCAAUGAUUUGAGUCGCUUGCAAUAUCUUAAACGUAGAUGAAUUAAAUUAGGUAGUUGUUUGAUAAUCUUAGGAAUUUCCACGAUAUCUGAUCCAGAAAGAUCCAAAUCUUCCAAAAUUAUCAACCCAAAUAUAUUUGAGCAACGUAACACUUUUAUGGCUGUUUUCAUUGUCUCUAAUUUCUGGGAAACACUCCAAGUUUUAACAGCCAUUGAGAUUAAGUAGUUCAAGAGAUUUUAACUUACAAAUGCUGGUUAGAAGGCUUUUAAGCCUUGUGCAGCCUUUCAUUCUCCAAACGGAAAGCCUUUUAAGCCUUGAGAUUGAUGAAGGCACUUCUUCCAUUGGAGUGUUAUCCAGAUGUAAGCAUUUUAUGUUCUUCAGAACAACCGGAAUAUUUGUGAUGUUUGGGCAAUCACAGAGGGAGAUUUGUUCAAGGGCAUGCAACUGAAUAAUAGUGCUUGGAAGAUUAUGAAUUCGGCUACCACUCAUAUCCAAAUCAGCAAGUUGAUGGAGAAAUCCGAUUGAUGAGGGUAUUUCUUCUAGUUGAUUCUUGCACAACAGCAAUCUUUCUAAGUUUCUGGGAACUUCUGGGAAUAGGUCGAUGGAGCAAACUUCGAGAUGGAAAAUUUUAAGAGAUUCCAACUUAAAGAUAUUCUUUAAAACAGUUUUAACCCUUGAGGGGAACACGCCUAAUUCCUUGAGUUGGUGGAGGCACCCGAUUGAGUCGGGAAUUUCUUCUACCGCAGUGUUUCUGAAUCUCAAAUUUUGAAUAUGCUGUGGAAGUUCAGGAAAUUUCUUCAAAUUUAGUAAACCUUCAAAUAAUACGUAAACGUUAAGAGAUAUCAAAUGAAUCAUGGAUGGGAGUUCAACCAAGCUUUCGCAUCCAUUGAUUUUUUGUUGUUCAAUAUUUAUGGCCGCUGACAAAUUUGGGAUGCUGGUUAAAUUCUCGCAAUAAGAAAGAUCAAGCACCCUUAAAUUCGCAAGAUUCUGUGCAAUGAAGGCAAAGAAACAAUAUGAGAUUGGUUUAAACUUUAAAGCCUCUGAACUAAAAAUUGAAAAAUGUGUUGGGGUUCCGUUUAGUGGGGUACAGAGUGACAAAAGAAAGACAAGCAACGCGGAAUGGUAGAAUAAAGGAGUAAAGCAAAUUGUAAAGUGACAAAAGAAGAGGCAGGAGUCAUGGUGCCUCGAAACCAGAAGGAGCUUCAAAAAGUGACUUAAGAUUGCCUCAAAAUCUUAGUCCAGAUACAAGUAUGAAGAAAACGAUCAAUUCGGUGGUAUCACGGCCUUUUCUAAUAUCAGCCAUUCCCUUGACUCUCUGUUUUGUAAUCUGCUUUCCUUCGAACAAUCACUUGCAUCUUCAUUCCCUUCGUGGUAGCAAAUUGAGAAAGUUAAAGCUAACCUCCAGGCUGUGACCAACUUUACAAAUUUGUUCACAAGUUCUGUGAUCAGGUAUUAAAACUCUAGAGAAUAAUAAAUAUGAACAAACACAGUUUCUUCAAGUACUUGCAGGAAAUGCCUAAUCAAAUUGUUUGGUUUUCCGUCCUCGCUACGCAAUCGGUUAGUAGAAUGGUGGACUCUUAUUCCAUUAACUUAGUUCAAUCCCGAACAACCUUAAUUAUAAAAAGAAAAAAAGUUGUUGGUUUUUGUUGGGUUAAAAGCUUUCAAUCCAAUCACACUAGCGAAAGCGAAAUCAAACACACAAGAGACAACAAUUUAACGCAGUUCGGUCCAACUGACCUACAUCCACGGAUGAGAAACAAGAUCCACUAGUUGUAGAGAAUUACAAACAUAUAUCAAAUCAUCAACCUCACUCAACAAUCAAUACUCAUAAGACACUCUCAAUCUCCUCUAGUCCUAUGGAGUAUUCUCAACCCAGACAAACACAAACCCAAACCCUUGUGCACUCUUUCAACAUAACCAAACAUAUACCCAUAUGCUCUCAUACAUCAUACAUAUGUGGACUCUCUCAGUCUCCUCUAGUCCACUCACAAACAAACAUACACACCCAUAAGACGUAGAGCCCCAAUACUCCUAUGGGGUGUCUAUCCCACAAAACCCUACAAAUUUCUUACAUCUUUUUCUCAUACCUAACCCUGUAGAGACUUCACCUAUUUAUAACCAUGCAAACUUGCCUAUUAAGAAUCCCUUUCCUCUUAGAAUUCUUCUCCUGUAAGUCAAACUUGCCUAUUAAGAAUCCCUUUCCUUUUAGAAUUCUUCUCUUGCAAGUCGAACUUACCUAUUAAGAAUCUUUUUUCUCUUGGAAUUCUUCUUUUGCAAGUCUUCUUGUCCAUCAAGCAAUAUCUAACAAAUCUCAAACAAAUCUCUAACAAAUCUCAAACAAAUCUCUUAUGGGAUUUGAGUCAAUAUUCCCAACAAUCUUCACCUUGACUCAAAUUCCAUCAAUCAUCUGUCUUCAUGUUAGACAUGCUUGGCUCCACCUGCAAUGGAAGUCUUACAAUCGUCUUCUCUUCUCUUGUGUCUUCACGCUUCAUACAAAUCAAUCCUCAAUCUUCAAAAUUUAAACUCAAACUCUUCUCUUGAAUCAAGCUUCUCUAAGCUUACUUCUUCCCAUGUUUCAAACCAAGCUCUUCCCAUAUCUCGAACUGUCAACUCUUCCCAUGUCUCGAACCAUCGACUCUUCCCACAUCUUGAAUCUUUAACUCUUUUGACGUUUCGAACCUUCAAUUCUGAUACCACUUGUUGGAGAACACCACAGCUCUGAUACCAUUUGUUGGGCUAAAAGCCUUCAAUCCAAUCACACCAACGGAAGCAAAAUCAAACAAUAAAUCAAACACACAAGAGACAACAAUUUAACGUGUUUCGAUCCAACUGAUCUACAUCCACGGAUGAGAAACAAGAUCCACUAGUUGUAGAGAAUUACAAACAUACAUCAAAUCAUCAACCUCACUCAACAAUCAAUACUCAUAAGACACUCUCAAUCUCCUCUAGUCCUAUGGAGUAUUCUCAACCCAGACAAACACAAAACCAAACCCUUGUGCACUCUUUCAACAUAACCAAACAUAUUCCCAUAUGCUCCCAUACAUCAUACCUAUGUGGACCCUCUCAGUCUCCUCUAGUCCACUCACAAACAAACAUACACACCCAUAAGACGUAGAGCCCCAAUACUCCACAAAACCCUACAACUCUCUUACAUCUUUUUCUCAUACCUAACCCUGUAGAGACUUCACCUAUUUAUAACCAUGCAAACUUGCCCAUUAAGAAUCCCUCUCCUCUUAGAAUUCUUCUCUUGCAAGUCAAACUUACCUAUUAAGAAUCCUCUUUCUCUUGGAAUUCUUCUUUUGCAAGUCUUCUUGUCCAUCAAGCAAUAUCUGACAAAUCUCAAACAAAUCUCUAACAAAUCUCAAACAAAUCUCUUAUGAGAUUUGAGUCAAUAUUCCCAACAGUUUUCCUACUACAAAUGUUAAACCAAGGAUCUCCUCUAUCAGUAAUGGAUAUAUUCACACUUUACCCCUGACUUUUUUUUCAUUAUACAUUUCAUUGUUUCAACUCCUUUUUGUAACUGUCUUUUCCAUGGGUGAAUGGCGAAAGACAUAAUGGAUGUAAACAAGAUGUAGGCACCGCAAGUCGUUUCCUCGAUACUAAACAUGCUGAAUUAGUUGGCUUUCUUUUCUUAUUUUAGUUUAACUCUUCCUAUUCUUAAUGGUCGUGUUUGUUUUUCUUUCUACCACAUAAAAGUUAAACGAAACAACAUAAACUUCCAGUAUUGCAUAAUUAUAGAAGCAAAAUAUUGGACCAUCCGGCAAUAGCACCCCGCAGCAGGGUAUGUCAAUUCUCUCUACCUUGAUGACAUCAAAACAGAUAUCAAGUCGUAUUCAUGUUAAACUCUGUCAUUUAGGAAAAGGUAGGCAUUCUAAUGUGACAAAACCAAAUUGUAUUUGUCACAACCUCGACUUUAAAUCCAAAAGAAAAAUAUUUGCUGAGAACUUUUUCUGCUGGUGACAAACAAGAUAAUGGAAAUACCCAUAUUUGCAAUUUCAACAGUAUCAGAUCAGACCAUUCUUUUGCCUUCCCAAGUGGUUUUAGUGACCCUAAAGAAGGUAUCAACUAAUUAACACCUAUAUCAAGAUAAAGCAAAACCAAUCUCACACAAGUACGUAAAUAAACGUUUAAGGAGGAUCAAUUGAAGGUCUACCUGGCUGACGUGAAUGCAGUAAUCAAACUUCAUCAUAGAAAUCAGAAAUCAACUAGUACCUAGGAAAUACGGAGAAACAUCAAUUAACAACAUAACACCAACAAAACCGAAAAUUUUACACAAUUUAUGUUACUUUCAGGGAAAAUAUAAAAUAGAACUAAUGGAUUAAGAGAAUAACAUUCCUGGAAAUAAACCUUGUCCUCGUUUAAUUAGAUGCAUAAGCAAGAAAUUUGAUAAAAAUUAAUGAAAAGCUUCAAAUCUUUUUCGCUCUUGUUCAAAGAUCAUCAAAACUGAGAAACAAUCAUGCUCUAAGGUAUAAUGCUUGUGAUAUUGGGAUUUCAUGCCAUUGUAAAGACACUUCUUAUGUAUUAAAGCCAAAAUUUAGAUUCCUAAAACUUCCUUUUAUGAGACCAAUUUGAAUGAAUUGGAGAGUUUGGCUGCAUUUUAUCAUUUUAGGAUUGCAUCUGUCCUCAUUAUCUUGAGUACAUGGCAGGCAGCAGAAAUUCCAUAACUUGUUUCCAAAAACUGAUAGGUGGUUUCCCCUCCUCUUCACUAGAGCGGAAAUUUUUGUUGGAUUCAACAUUGCAGUCAGCAUAACACUCAGCAUCCACAUAAAAACAUGUACACCACAUUUCUCCACCUUGAUAUUGUGAUCUACACGCCUUCCAUCAUCUUUAGCUGUGAUGUAGAAUUCAAAACGAGGCCUCCUCACAGUGCUUGUCUUUUUGAAACAUAUUCUUGUCCAAACCAAAUGAUCAUGUUAUUGGAACCUCAAAAGAAUAUGGGCUUAUCAUAAUACAUAGGUUGAACGUCCAUCUACUUCUAAAAAUUAUGACAAUCACCGCAUUUGGUUUUUAGCUGAAUUUCGCAAACAAUUCGAACACCAUGUCUUCGUAAUUGAUCUAGAAAUCAACCACAACAGAUGGAACAAAACACAAGAAUCUCUCACUUUGCCAAUCUGGACACAGCUUGAUAGUUAUUGAAGAAUCCAUGCUUCGGUACUCAAAUCUUUCUGAAAUUUCACUACAGGCAACAACUCUAUCAAGAAUAUGAUCGGGUACUAUUUCAUGAAAUCCCCUCGACCUUUCUUUCACCCAUUCCUCUACCAUGCGCCGGAGUCUAAGAUGUGCAUUGGCCACUAUUUUGUCAACUACACCUUGAUCCAAAUCAAAGCAAUUACUGAAUAACAUAUGUACUAGGCAAGAAUUCUCCCAAAACCGUCUUCUGCCCAACACCAGUUCUAAUGAAGUACAGUCAUGUGCAUUUAGGUUUCGUAGACGUGGUGGAAGCUCAGGCAAUAUUAUAAGGUUCUUGCAACAUUUUAAGUAAAAGAGAAAUUAGAUUGGGAAGUUGUUGCAUGCUUAUGGGAGUUUUCACUAUAUUUGACCCACUCAGAUCUAGAGUCGUCAAAACAUCAAAUUUGCUAAAGCUACCGCUAAGGAUGACACCCAGAAGAUUCAAGUUUCUACUGUACCUCACACGAAUUAUGUGGUCAUUCAAGAUGGGUGUGACUUUUAUACUUAAUCUUUUCGAACAAGCAAGCUUUGUUAGACAUUGCAUAGUCUCCACGAUUGCUGGGAAAGUAUCUAAAUUUGAACAGCCUAGGCGACAAAGUUGUCGAAGACAUUUCAGCUUGCAAAUACAUGUUGGAAAGCUUUUAAUCCUUGUACAGUCAUUCACACUCAACAUGGACAGGCUUUCAAGCCUAACAAUUGAUGAGGGCACUUCUUCUAUUGCUGUGUCGUCCGGUAAUAAGAUUUCUUUGUUGCUCCAAACAUUUGGAAACUGGGUGAUGUUUGGGCAAUGACGGAGAUGGAUUGCUUUUAGGAAAUCCAUAUUUACAUGGAUGAUUUUCAAUUCUUGUGCCACUCAUAUCUAAAAAAACAAAUUCUCUGAGACAACCGAUUGAUGAAGGCACCUCUUCGAUUUGAAUAUUGCUCAAAAUUAAGUCUUUUAUGUUCUCUGAAACAUUUGGAAAACGAGUGAUGUUUGGGCAAUGAGAGAGACAGAUUUUUCUAAAAGGGAAUUCAUCUUAACAACAGUACUAGGAAGAUUUUUAAUUCGUGUAUAGCUCAUUGGUAAAGAAGCAAGUUCUCUGAGACACUCAAUUGAUGAAGGCACUUCUUCUAUUUCAGUCCCACUCAAGUUUAAUGUCUUUAAGGUUCUAGGAAUUCUGGAAAUAUUGUGAUUGGGCAGUCACUAAGACAGAGAUUUCAAGAAAUUUCAAAUGAACAAUGCAUGGAAGCUCAACCAAGCUUAUGCACCCACCAACCUCCAAUUCUUCAAUGUUUAUGGAUCUUGACAGAUCUGGGAUCUUUGUUAAAUUCUUGUAAUUUCGGAGGUCAAUCACUCUUAAAUUCACAAGAUUCUGUAGGAUGAAAAUAAAAAACUAACUACAUUAAUUUCAAGUCUGUAAUUAAAUUUAGAGUUUUAUUCAAAAUGGGAAAAAAAAAAAAAAGGAAACGAAAUAUGUUUUCUUUUUGGAUGAGCACAUUAUUAAAGUAUAUAUGCCUGAUCUUUAGGCCAAAGUUAGUUAAUAUUCGGUAAUCUUAAUUCCACAAGCUUCUCUGGACUAAAAUUUGAUGGCAAAGAUUUCAAUGGGCAAUACUCCUACUGAAAAUAACUGAGCUCACCUGGAAGAGAUUUAAGAUCCUGCUGUGAAAGCAGUGAUUUACCUUAAAAAUAGAUUCGGGGAAGACACAGAAGAACUUAAAAAUAGUUAAAAUUCAUGAUGAACCGUAAUGAGUAAGACCAAGAAAGGACAGGUUUGUCGAGAACUCGUAGUGCCUUGAAGUCUCAGUUCAAGUACAGGCAUAAAGCAAAGAAUCUCAAAGAAAAAUUGAAGCUCUGUAAAGGCCUGGUCAUCCCUCCUAUUACUGCAAAAACUUGAAUUUCAUCCUGGUUUCAUUUUGAGUAGAAGGGUCACCAUGGUCUUUUCCAAUAAUCAGCUAUCUCAUUCAAUCAUUGAUUCACCAACAUCGGGAAAAUGGCAUCCUCAUUGUCCUUGCUUCUAAUUUCUAAAUGGCUGCUCCUUUUCCGACCUCAUCGGGGCUAAAACUUCCAUUGCAGUCAUUAUAUACUGAUGUUCACGAUUGUCUUUCUCAGUGCAAGCAUCUUUGAAAAAAAGCAAUGACGAACUCAGCUUCAAGGUGAGCCUAGUCGAAUCGCGAGGAAAGCUGGGCUGGAUCUUGUUAGGAUUGCAUUUGAUCUCUUUACCUCUGCUUUAGCUGCAUAGCAAGAUGCAAUAAAACAACAUCGUUAUUAUCUUUAAUUGAAAAAUGCUCAUUCAGUGUUGGUCGAAAAUGGGCACCAAUGCAAGUGAAACCAUUAACUAAUGUAAUGACAAUCUGCUUAAACAAUUUCUAGUCAACAUAGUUGUAGUUGUUAAAAUAAAAAUACUAGUAAUUCAAUAUGCAGAAUCACUUGCAAUGAAAAUUCUGACAUCAGAUGCUAGUUAGCCAUCUGAGUUUGAUUAGGUUCUCGUAACAAUUUAUACUCGCAAAAUGCUAAUUAUCAAUUUAAUAAUUAUAUAACUACUAUUCUUAGAAAAUGAAGAUGCUGUAACAAAGGCUGGUAAUUUCCUAAGUGGAGUCAGCAUAAGAAGUACUAAAUCUCUAUGCCAUCAGAUCACAUUAUUUUAAACGUAGCUAGUUAAGAAUGUAGUAAGUACUCAAGCUCUCAUUGUUUGAUUUAUAAAUAUCCAUUGCAAUAAUGAGAGUUUACCUCAAAGCAAAAAUAAUAUAUCUUAAUUUCCGCCCAACUAGGGCAAUCCUCAAGAGUUUUCAAUAAAAAAAAAAAGACAAUUAAGCAUAAAAAAGGUUAAAUAUUAAAACUAUAAAUCGAAAGAAAAAUGUUGAAAGAUGUCCCUUCAACACUUACAGCACCACCCACCAUUACCUCUUUCCAAGUAUUAAGAAUCUAUAUGCAGCUUGAGCUUGACCAUAUCUCCAAAACAAGCAGGAUGUAACCUCCUCCUGUAAUGAUACCAAAAUAGAAAGUGAUUGACUUUCCUAUUGCAAAUACCCAAAUAAAAUGAAGAAUAAUGUUUUGUCAAAGAAGUAGAGAAAUUUUAGCCCAAAGAUGUGAUAUAAGAAAUAAAUUACAGCUGAAUUCUAUCUCAGAAUGAUAAUAUGGCCAAACACAUAAUAUUGGGUUCAUUUGAAUUUUUAACAUUGCCCGUUGAGUCUGUGUCUUUUCCCUGCUUUACUUGGACCAACGGGUAAUUUUGCAUCUUCUUUCCGAUAAACAGUGCCAAGUACUUGCAAAUCAGACUUUACAAUUGUAUUGCAAACAACAUUAUUUGACAACUUUUAGAAAAGUUUGUCAUUGCUAAUCAAACAUAUAUUGAAAUGAAACUGAGAAGACCAAUUUCAGAUGAUUUAACAUAGAAAUUUACUGAGUUUAUCUAAUAAGAUGCCUAAAAUCUUCCAUAUAACAACCCAGAAGUACAUAGAAUAAUCUUUCAUUAAUAACUACAAAAGCUAAACUAAGGUUUUGUACCAUUUUCUACGCCAUGAAGCAGAUGAAAAUCUUUUUGGCUUUCAGUAUGUCAUUCAUAUUCAAAGAUAGCAAGGAAACUAAAAUGGCUUCGGUUCGAUUUCAUCAUAGAACCAUUAUUUAGUAACUUAAUAUACAAAGAACAGUUGUAUUAAAAUGUAAAUAGUAACAAGUAAAAUUUUGGCUGGUACCUUAAAUUGCUUCUUUUGGAGCUUUGGCAUUGCCUUAGGACUCUGUUUUAUCCUCUGCCUUGGAACUGUGCUUUGCGAUCCUUUGCUUCAACCAAUCAUUUGCAUCUUCAUUCAAUUAAUAGAAGUAAAUUUAGAAAGUCAAGGCUAAUCUCAUAGUAGUAACCAUUUUUUUCAAAAUUAUUCACAACUUUACAAGCACUAAACCUUCCAAGACAAGAAUCAUUCCUUCUUAAAAUUCAUAAAUAAUUUCUCUAAGCAACUAGAGGAAAUGCUCAAUCGAAUUCAGAACUUGCACAGGUUUUCAGCUACAAAAGGUUUAACCUGGAAAUUUAACUAUCAGUAAUUGAUAUGCUCACAAUUGAUCCUUGACUUACAUCAUUAAUUUCAUUUCCUCUACUUUUCUUUUACAUAUAUAUAUAUAUAUAUAUAAUUGACCCUAUAAGUUCCCUGACAGAAUGGAGAAACAUUGUAGAUGGAAAAGAAGAUAAUUAGCUGCUCUCCUCAUUACUAAACAUGCUCAAAUAGUUUCCUUGAGUUUUUUUCUACAGAGGGGUAGUUUAAAAUCUUUAUUUCUUUAUAGGGAUAGUUUUAAAUUUUUACAUAAACGGGGUACUUCAUGCCAUGUCAAUGCCAAGUCAGAUUUUUUAAAUAAUCAUUUAUAUUUUUUAAAAAUAUUUUAAAAAAUUGAAACACCUAAACACUACCAUUACUUUGUUUACUAAACGCUAUUUUCUACUGGCCUCUGAAGCAUAGUGAAGCAGAGUAGGAACAGGGCUUCCAAUUCAACAAGAGAUUUCAUCAUGAGAUUAUGAAAUGCUAGGGAUAUUUAUCCUUUCAUUAGGAUAAAAAGGGAAGGUGGCAUUUUAAUUUGCUGAUCUUACAUGCCUUUAAUAAUAUUCCUAUGUUCUCUAACUCACUGCACAUAUUUUCUGCUGUACAUUAUAACACUAUAAAUAGCAUAAAUAUUUAUAAGUAAAAGUUUUAAGACUAGUACUUAAUAAUAUAAACGGAACCCUUCCUCUCCACUCAUAAGUCAUUUGAGCUAUGCAAGUUACAAAAACAGCUGUUAUAUUAGAAGAGAAAUUAUCCUUAGUAAUCAAAAGAAAAAUAUAAAUGCAUGCAACAACAAGGCCACCGAGAAGAAACUAGGAAAACAUUUAUCACGAUGCAAUAUAUCUGUAUUCCAUGAAAUUUGUUUGAUGUGCUUCAUAAUGACAAUAGGAUUGCAUGGAAAAAUAGACAGAAUAAAAGAUACUUACAAUUGAAGAACUGAAUAACGAUGCUGCAUACAUCUGUAGCAGAAUCAUUUUAUUUUUUGAGCCGGGCAAAUAGCUCAUCAGCUUUGGUAUGCAGGUCCUUGCCCUUUGAAUCAUCACUGCCCCUGAAAAUCCUCUUUACACAGUCAAGCUCCUUUGUUAGUGUUUCCGGACCCCCAGUCCUUUGCACAGCAUAAAAACACAUCCUUAAUAAACCCGAGUGUUGCUGAAGCAUGACCACAUCCCAUGAAGUGAAAUUGCAUUCCUGUCGUACCAGAUGGCCCCUUUAGCUAUGACUUGGCUUGACAAGAUUCCUCUGCAUACCACAAGCGGCAUAGUACCAAUAGGAACAACCAACCCAACUGCUAGUAUUGUUAGCACAAUUAAAAUUCAGUGCAUUUUCCAUAUUUAAUUAAACCAACUACAUUAGAAUUAGUUUCAGUCUGCAUUUGCCAUAUCCAAAUAAACCUAGUCCAAACAGUUGGCCACCUUCAACAAGGCAUCAAAUUAAUGUGCUUACACAAUCAAGUAAUGCGUGGCCUUAAAAGUAGCCCAAACCGUAGAAUUCACUUAGCAUCCUAACUAGAGAUGGUAGCAGCUCAUUAAUGCCAGUGAAUAGCAAAAUUAUUCCUUAAAUUCUGAAUGCAGACCUUAAAUUGUGGGUAAAAUUAUUAGAUUAUCUGCUCUCUUUUACCUUUUGGAAUUUGAAAUGACAACUUUCUAUUAUGUAUUGCAAGCAGGAAAAUAUGAAAGAUAGCACAUUUGCCCUAAAUAGCCAAAGUCUUCAAAAACUAACCUUCCACCAAAAAGCUUCGCUAGCAAACCCCUGGCAAUUGAAUCAAGCAUGUCCCCAAAAGAAUGGUGGUUGCACUAAUCCAUUUACUGAUGAAUUCCACCCAAACUGAUGUGACAUAGGAAUUAUAGCAACACUCAAGUUCACCGACCCCAUUUAACAAGCUUAACAAAAUUAGUUCAACCUAAAUAUAAAACCCAAGUCCACACAAGUGAUUGCUGUUUCUACUACAUGAACCCAAAAAUCUAUAAUUCAAAACUAUAAACCCCAAAAACUAUAAUUGAAAACUAUGAUGGAAUUAAGCAUAUAGAUGAAGAGUUUGGGAAUUUAAUUUCAAGACAAUAACAAAUCCCCAAAAGAAAAAGAGAGAUAAAGCACAUAAAUGAAGAACCCACCUAAACUUUUCCCUUUCAUACUUGCCACUGGUAUUUGAUUGAAGGAGAGUUAAAGCAUCGAAGCAGAGAAAGUGUAAUCACUUGUAUUUUGUAUGUAAAAGGAAAACAAAAAAAAAAAAUGACAGCAUGAAUAUCCCAUUUAGGUAAAUAAGUUUCAAACUUUCCUUAAAGAUGUUAAAAUAACCUUCUAUUGGAAAAAAAAAUUCUAGUUUCCUUUUUUUUUGUUUCCUUUUUGUUUUUAUUUUCCCCAAUUCUCAAUAAUGGUGCAGGUGUGAUCUACUUUUUCUACUGUGAGAUGACAACGACAAAGUUCUGACUAUCAGAUGAUAUAAACUUGCAACAUCACUGAUGUAGCUUUAAGAAAGCAUUGAAAUUGAUUACGAUUCAAGACCGCAAGAUAGUUAAAGAUUUCAUGUUAUGCUUCAUAUAAUUUUUCUGAAAAGAAAAAGGUGAACUUGCACUUUCGACUAGUUAUAGAAGCUCAUUUACCUUGAUGAUCUGCAACUGCAGAGGCAGCAGCAAUAGCAUGUAGCAAGUAGCAAAGGGAUGCAAAUCUCUAGCUUCAUAACAUCAUAUUGAAGUCAAACUCUGUAAUUGAGCUUGAAAAGGUAGCACGUAAUUAAUUUGAGGGAAAAAAAUUACAUUUGUCACAACCUAGACUUGAAAACCCAAUAUUUCUCUGAAAAUCCUUUCUAUUGGUGACAAAGAGACACUUGAAACAUUCAUAAUCUGCAGGUUCAAAAAUGUCACAUCAAGUUAAGGCUGAAUUUUCAUGAAAGUUCCCGAAAAUGCGCAAAAUACAGUCGUAAUUCUAAAAUGCAUAAUGAACAUAGGAAAAAAUAGAACCUUUUAUGGGAGAGGGGACCUUGCUUUCACAUUCCAACUGCUCCUAGGUAUCCUAAGAAAAGCAUCAACUGAAACCUAGAUCAAGAAAAUGCACAGGUUAUAAACAAAAGCAAUUUCGCACACAAGUGGUUCAGAUAAAUAUUUUGGGAAGGUGCAUGCAAAUUAGAAAUCAACUACUAUCUGAAAAGAAAAUUAGGUAAUAAUAAAACAAAACACCAACUAAAACACCACAAUAUUUGCAUACUUUACUUUAAGAGCCAAAACGAAAUUUUUAAAAAAAUUGAAAAGUAGGGAAAUUUCAGAAAAGAAAAACAAAAUUAUCUCUCAAUCAGAGGAGAAAAAUACAAUAGUUAGUUGAGAAAAUGAAAGGAGAAAAUAGAAUGAUGAGAGAGUGGUCGGAAACAAAAUGUGAAAGAAAAGCAUGAAGGAAAAUUUGAAAGAUUCAAAGUUGAAAGCAUUUCGUAUUCUUUUUUUUUUUUUUUUCUAAAUUACCAAGAUUUAAAAGUGAUGACAAAUUGAAUCUCAGGAUGACUUACCAAAAGCUUUGGAACUGAAUUGCCUGGGCUUUAAAUAAUAUCAGAAAUUUGCGAACUUGCACCUCCUCAAAAGAAACGAAACUAUUUCAGUCUUUUAGGCUCUGGUUCUUCCACUUCAUCAGAGCUAAAACAUCGUCUGUGCCUAGGUCUCAUCGUAGUCGUAGGAUCAUCAAGGCCUUCCUCAUCAUAGCUCUGUAAUUUGUGCUGGACGCAACCUCUUUGUCAUUGGAUCUUGACAGCAUCCUCAUAUAAUACAUUGACACCACAUUUUUGCACUAUGAUAUGCUCAACAUUGGAAUCAAAAUCCCAAGCUGUAACGUAGAAUUCAAUGGAGGCCUCAUCAAAAUGGUUGUUUAUGGAUUCAUUGAUCUCCCUUCCAAAACCACUACCAAAAAGGAUCACAUGAUUCGAAUCAAAGCUUUGACAGAAAGGGACAUUCCAAUUCCAAUGAUGAGUAAGUUCGAGAGGAUCACGGUCAAGGCGGUCAAGGCGCUCGGUUGUUAAUAGAUAUUGGCAACUACCGCCGCAGACUUUGAAUUUAUGAGGGCCCUUAAAAUUAACCACAAUGCAUAGAAGAAAGCCCAAAAAUCUUUUACUAGAACAAGCUGGACCCAACUUGACAGUUAUUGAAGAAUUUUUACUCCGAUUCUUGAAUGUCUUUGGAAUUUUACUUCCAGGGAAACAAGAAAGGAAACCAUUACUAUAACGAAAAAUUAUAGCAGCAACUUCAGAAGAUUUGAUCGCAAACACCUGUGCCGUACAUUGAGCUAUAAGCUGUGCAUUAGCCACAAUGUUGUUGACUGCAUCCCCGUCCAGAUUGAAGCAAUUAUUGAAUACAAAUUCACUGUUGCCAAAUUGAUGAGAUAAUAAAAAUGUCCCAGCUUCCAUAAAAUGCGCAUGUUCCCACUGGGGAACUCUCUUUAAAGAUCUGCAGUUUCCUGCUACUAAACUAUGUAAACAUGGUGGAAGUUCUGGCAAUGAUUCGAGGUUCCCACAAUUAGAUAAAUAUAGAUACUGUAAAUUAGAAAGUUGUUUGAUACUCUUAGGAAUUUCCACUAUAUCUGAUCCAGAUAGAUCCAAUCCUUCCAAAGGGACAAACCGAAAUAUAGUCGAGGAUAACUCUGUUAUGGCUGUUUCCCUUAAACCAAGAUAUUUUAGACGCUUAGUCUCUAAUAUUUCUGGGAAACACUCUAAGUUUGAACAGCCACCGAGAUCUAGUGAUACAAGAGAUUUUAACUUACAAAUGCUGGUUGGAAGGCUUUUAAGCCUUGUGCAGCCAUACAUGCUGAAAUAAGCAAGGUUUUUAAGCCUUGAGAUUGAUGAAGGCACUUCUUUUAUUGGAGUGUAACCCAAAAAUAAGUGUUCUAUGUUCUCCGGAACAAUCGGAAAAUUUGUGAUGUUUGGGCAACUUUCGAGAAAGAUUUUUCUAAGGGCAUGCAACUGAAUAGUGGCGCUUGGAAGAUUAUGAAUUCGGCCACCACUCAUAUUCAAACGAACAAGUUGAUGGAGAAACCCGAUUGACUCCGGAAUUUCUUCUAUUGCAGUGCAUGUUAAAGUCAACUCUUCGAUAUGCUGUGGAGCUCAGGAAAUUUCUUCAAAUUUUUUAAACCAUAACCGAGUAGCUAAAGCAAAGAGAUUUCGAAUGAACCAUGGAUAGGAGUUCAACCAAGCUUUAGCAUCCAUUAAUUUCCAGUCGUUCAAUAUUUUUGAAUGCAGACAAACUUCGAAUCCUGGUUAAAUUCUUGCAAAACGAAAGACUAAGCACUUUUAAAUUCUCAAGAUUCUGUGCAAUGAAAGCGAAGAAACAAUAUGAGGUUAGUUUAAACUUUAAAGCCUCUAAACUUGUAGGGUACUACAAAAAUAAAAAUUAAAAACAAUAAAUAUUAUUUUUUUAUGAAAAUAAAAUGUUAAAGAAUACCUGGUCUCCAUUCCAAAGUUGUUCAACAUUGCUACCACGCAAUCUUAAUUCAACAAGAUUCUUCGGACUAAAAUUUGACGGUAUAGAUUUCAGCAUGCAAUUCUCCCAAUGAAAAUACCUUAACUCAUCAGGAAGAGAUUCAAGACCCUGGUCUGAAGGAACCAACAUACCACUCUCCCUAGAUAAAGUAGGAUUAUAGAAUUUGAUAAUUCUAAGAUUAGGCAUCCUUGCGAAAGUAUGUGGAUGUAACUGUACUUCAUUAAUUUGAGACAGGUUUAAUAAUAUUCCCUCCACUGAUUUCGUCCCCUAUAAUCAACAGCAAACAAUAAUUUACCGUAAUGCAUCAAACAUUUAUCAAGUCAAGAUGAGCAAAAAAAAAAAGAAAAGUUAGUUCAGUUAGCUCUUACCUUGUCAUUCUCUAACAGUUUACGAACAUCAAUUGGAGUCCAUAAUCUACUGCGUUCUUCUGGCCAUUGAGAUUCUGAACGGAUAAUUUUUCUACCCAUCUCUUGUAGCAAAUCAUGCAUGCCAAGCUUGUUCUUUUUAACAUCUAAGAGGCAUUUAUCAACAAGGUUGGUAAUUCCACAAUAAGCAGUCUCAUCAUAGGAACCGUCUAGUAUUUUUGUUACACUAUCUCUACCAUACCCUUUAAAGAAAAUUGCGAUAUCAAGAAAUAUCUUUUUCUCUACAUCUUCCAGCCCAUCAAAGCUAAUCUUCAGCACAUCGUGAAUUUUCGGAUUGGAAUGUUGCUUUAAUUUAUUCAAUGCACUUGCCCAAUAUGCCAUGUCCUUAUUACAAACUGUAGAACCCAAGACUUUAAGAGCUAGUGGAACGCCUUUAGAAUAUUCCAAAAACUUAUUUGAUAGAUCCUUCAAAUCAUCAAAAAGGUGGUCUUGCUUGAAGGCAUACAUAGAAAAGAGCCGAAUAGAGUCAUUGUGACUUAAUUCCUUAACCUCAUAUAUUCCAUCAACUGAUCCAUUUGUAAGG